UUUCAAAAUAUUUUGAGUCUAGCUAGAUAUGAGAAAAAAUAUUGAAUAUAUAUAUAUAUAGAGAGAGAGAGAGAGAGAGAGAGAGAGUGCGGCUAGGAUGCUUAUGGAAGUACGGAGGGCUCCGUGCUUCCACUUUGUUUUCGAUGUUCGGACUUUCGAAUCGACGAUCGGCUCCGUUAGACUUGAUCUAGAGUAUUUGAAGUAUCUAGAAAAUAAAUUUUGCGAUUUUUCGAUAUCAUUUGCCUAGUGAUCGAAGUGGCUCAAAAUCAACGGCUGAAAAUAAAAAUCUUACAAAAUAUGAUGAUAAGACAUUAAAAUUUUAAACCAAAAUUAUUAAUCUUGUUUUAUAUGGUAUAAAUAAUUUUCUAUCAAAAUUUCAUGUGAUUUGAAUAUUUCUAUACCGUUAAACUUGCAACCGGCUCACCACAACCGUUAAAAUUAUUGAUUUUGAGCCCCUUCGAUCACUAGGCAAAUGAUAUCGAAAAAUUACAAAAUUUAUUUUCUAGGUACUUCAAAUACUCUAGAUCAACUCUAACGGAGCUGAUCGUCGAUUCGAAAGUCCGAACAUCGAAAACGACUUGGAAGCACGGAGACCUCCGUGCUUCCAUAAGCAUACCAGCACAACUCUCUCUCUCUCUCUCUCUCUCUCUCUAUAUAUAUAUAUAUAAUUAAGCUUCUAUGCUUUUAAAAGUAUAAAGUCAUUGGUGCUUGUAAGCUUUCGACUCUUGGAUUAAGAAAUGUGCGAUUAGAAUAAUGUGGGCCCUCUAGGGUUGAGUGGUUAGUUGGUUGAAUAGUAUAAUCUAACGGGUGAAAAUGAUAUAUAUAUAUAUAUAUAUAUAUAUAUAUAUAAAUUGUCUAUCGAGCUAAAGAUUUUAGGGCACGUUUAGUUCAAAAUAGCAAUUGAAAUCGGCAUAGACCGGAAUGGAAAUGAGUUGUAAUCGAAAAGAGAAUGAUAAAAAUAAUUAACAAUUUGUUUGGUUCAUUAAAAAAAUCGAAAUCAAAAUUAUAUUCAAAUUAAAAAAUUUAUUAAAUUUAAAUUUGUUACUCAAAUGUAUAGUCAAAAUUUGAAUUCAAAUAUGAACUUAUAAUUUUAAACUUAAAAUUUGUGAAUAUACAAUUCAAGUUCAAGGUCAAAGUCAAAAUUUAAAUUUAAAACCAUUAAAUUAAAAUUAAAAAAUUAAAUUUAUUGAAUUUAUUUUUAAAAUUUUAUUUGACUUCAAAUAGUUAUUAGUGGAAAAAAAAAAACAAAAAAGAAUCCUCAAUCGGAAUCAAAACUAACUCCCACCUGUACGGUGGGAGUCACUUUUGACUUUCGAGGGAUUCGAAUCCACCGUGAUGAUGAGAAUCCAAAAUGCUAAAUAAAUCCCUCCAUUUAAAUACUAAUUAACAGUAAGAAGGGUACUUAUUUCAAUUUUCAUUCUAAGUCUCAAAUAUUUCAAAUCAAACCUACCCUUAUUAAGAUUAUUUCUGUGCUUCACAUAUUUGAAUUAAAUAAAAAUAAAUUGAAUAAAACUAGCUAGGAGUAAAAUUUGAGCUCGAAAACACUGACUCUGAUACCAUAUUGAAAAACGACUUAUUAUUACUCUAAACUUAAGCUAGAUACCGGAGCAACGGUGUUUUAAUAUUUUAUAUUCAACACGCGAUACCUCUCGUGGCCGAGACGGAGCAUGAUGUCGCGGAGCUCCCCCGCGGAGAUCUUGCCGUCGCCGUUGGAGUCGAUGAGGUCGAACACUCGCCGCAGUUGGUUCGGAAGCUCCGCCGCCGCGGCGGCGGCGGCGGCGGCGGGGGAGGCUGCUGAAGAGAUCCACUUGAAGUUGCUGCUGGCUCUUCUCCCCCUCCUGCUCACGGCCUUGAAUUUUUGCAAAAAACCCCCUACCUUUUCCGGAGAGAACAUUUUCCCUUCAAGGAUGAGGAGGAGUUGUUAGGGGGGGAGAGAGAGAGAGAGAGAGAGAGAGAGAGAGAGUAGAUGGGCUAGAGCCUAGAGGGAGGAAGAGGAGGAGAGAGAGGCCAUGGGAGGAGGAGUGUGAGGAGUGGGUGGUGGGUGCAUGUGAGAGGGAUUGAAUUGGUUGCUAGUUUUAUAAGAGAGAAAUUAUUGCCGAGACCUGAUCCACCAUGCUAACAAAAAAAAAAUAAAAAAAUAAAAAAAAGAGUUCAGAAAUAGUCUUUUAAUAAUAGAUCCCACUCAUGUGCACAGCGAAGAUCAGGUGAAUAGCACGCACAAGCAGAAGAAGCAGUGAGAAAAAUUAUACUAUUUUGUAUCACCCUCAAACGACAGAUAUAAUUAAAAGAUAGGAGGCAAUUAUUUUUAUGUUCUUGAAAAGUUUUCGAUUUUUUAAUUUUUCUCUCUUAGAAUGCUAAUAUUGAAAAAAAAAAAUUUACAUUACAAUUUAUUUUAAAUAUAAAAUCUGUUAUUGAACUAUUAGUAAUAACUGUUAUUUAUAUAAAAUUACUAUUAUACCCUUUCAAAUAUACCCUUCUACUAUUACCAACUUUUUUUAAAUUGGGGACACAAAAAGUAUUUUAUUUUUUGAUUUUUUCAAAUAUGCUUUUGUACCAUCACCAAUAUUUCUUAUUUGUUCUUAAGUUAAGGGCAAAAAAGAUAUUUUGAUUUUUUUAACUCUGAUAACUAUUAAACUCAUGUUUAAGCUAAGUUAACUUAAAGGGGUGGUAAUUGUAGGGAUAUUUUGAAAUAAUAGAGGAACAUAUGACGAGUAUAUUGAAAAGAAAAAAAAAACAAAAGUAAGGACACAUGAAAUAUUUUCGAAGUUUUAAGAAGUAUAUAGGCAAUUAUCUCUAAAAGAGAUAUCUAAAAUCUCCUUAAGGGUGCGUUUGGUUCGCGCUAUCCUUUUAAGAUUCCUAGUAAUCCAAUAGGAAUAAAAAAAUAUGACGGUAUUUGACUAAACGCACUAAAUAAUCUAGUUAGUAAUACUAGAUUUACUUGGAAAUGAGAUGCAUCCUAAAGUACUAAUCUCAUUUCUUUGAGGAAUGGUGGGUAUCCUUUUAUUAAUGGAUUAGAGUAAUUAUAAUAUGUCUAAUCUUUUUUUUCUUCCCACCCGCCAGAUAGUUGGUAUUAUUUUUCUUUACACUCUAACCUCAUCUCUCUAAACUUAUCUUUUUUUUUCUAAACUUCAACUCUUUUUCUCUCUCUAAAUUAAGCUAUUUCUCCCUCUCCUUUUCUAAAAUCUCAACCCUCUCAUUCUUUCUAACCUUGACUCUAUUUCUCUUCUAUUUCUUUAAUUAUGCUUUUUCUUUCUAACCUAUAUUCUCUCUCUAGGAAUAAAAUUCUCAUAUAUCUUUUUACUUCUCAUAAUCUUUCAUAGUGCGAAUCAAACGCACCCUAAAAAUAGGUGGUUUUAGAAUAACUGAGAUAAAAGAAAGAGCAAUUCAGAAAUAUAUAUAGUCUUGAUAAAAAAUAUUGAUAAAAUCUAACAUUCUAUACAUAUUGUUGAGCUUGUUGAAAAGCUCCAAUUACUAGCUAGCUAAUCAGAAAAACUAGUUCGGAGACUAAUUAGAAAUUUUUUUUUAAAAAAAAUAAGGCAUAAAUUAGAGUUUGCAUACAAUUUUAAAUUUAUUCAAACCAAUCCAAAACUUAAUUUACGGAGAUGCUCUUACACAAAAGGUUUUUUUGAGAAAUAGGCAGCAAGUUACCUGCUUCACUUCUCUUACACAAAAGUUACAAAUGACCCCACCCAAUGAAUAGUGAGAGUGGGCUGGUAUGCUUAUGGAAGUACAGAGCUCUUCGUGCUUCCAAGUUGUUUUCGAUGUUCGGACUUUCGAAUCGACUAUCGGCUCCGUUAAAGUUGAUCGAAAGUAUUUGAAGUACCUAGAAAAUAAAUUUUGUGAUUUUUCAAUAUCAUUUGCCUAGUGAUCGAAGGGGCUCAAAAUCAAUAAUUUUAACGGCCGUGGUGAGCCGGUUGCAAGUUUAACGGUGUAGAAAUAUCCAAAUCACAUGAAAUUUUGAUAGAAAAUUCUUUAUACUAUAUAAAACAAGAUCAAUAACUUUGAUCUAAAAUUUUAUUGUCAUAUCAUCAUAUUUUGUAAGAUUUUUAUUUUCAGCCGUUGAUUUUGAGCCACUUCGAUCACUAGGCAAAUGAUAUCGAAAAAUCGCAAAACUUAUUUUCUAGAUACUUCAAAUACUCUAAAUCAAGUCUAAUGGAGCCGAUCGUCGAUUCGAAAGUCCGAACAUCGAAAACAAAGUGAAAGCACGGAGUCUUUCGUGCUUCUAUAAGCAUCCUAGCCGCACUUGAAUAAUGAAUAUAUAUACGGAACUACUAUUCUUAGGACCUGUCCACAGUGGACCUGGCCCACGCAACAGUUUCUACUUAUUGAAAAGCAAGCGCACUUAUUGGAUGGUACUCGAUGGGCCCCACAUGGGCCAGCAAAUUAGGUACGAAGUUUGGUGGGGUUUUGAUGGAGAGGAGUAAAAUUUUUUAAAUUUUAAUUUUAAUUUUACGUCCGGGUGUUGAUGAGGGUCUUUUGGUUGAUUGAUGAUCUUCCGAUGCUUGCUGGAUUGGAGAAAAGUGUUGGCGAAAGUGACGUUGGCAGAUCCCACCGCCGUAGGGGUAGGUGUUAUCUUGUUCACGGUCAAAAUGCAUGAAUGGUCCUUGUCCAACCCUGAUAUUGCAAAACCUCUCUUUUUUUUAUAAUUAUAAACGAUGCCAGGGACUAAAUUUAGUAUAUGUGAAAAUAAGCGAGAAAAGUUUCUUUUUUUUUUUUUUGAGAGAUAGGUAGCACGCUACCCGCUUCAUUUAUUUCAUUUAGAAAUAAACUUAGCUAGAAAUGUGAAUCAACUAGAAUUCAAACUUGGAUCUCGGAUACCAACCACCAAACCUUUUGCCAAUUGCUCUAGGGACGGUCGAUGAGAAAAAUUAGUAUAAUAUUUUUCAGUCUCCCUGAAGUACCUGAAGUAACAUAGAGGUAUUUUUCUAUAUGUUUUUGGUUAGAUAUAAUUAUAAACGCAGUGUAGUUGAAGAUAUAUGCAUGUAGUGGCAAAGGGCUUGAUAGUUGGUAUCUGAAAUUUUAAGUUCGAAUUCUAGUUGAUUUAUAUUUCUAGUUAAGUUUAUUUCUAAAUGAAAUAAACGAGCUACCGAUCUCCCUUAAAAUAUAUAUAUAUAUAUAUAUAUAUAUAUAUAGAUACGAUAGAGAGAGAGAGAGACGAGAGAGAGAGAGAGGAGAGAGAGUGAGUGAGUGAGUGAGUGAGGCUACUAUGCUUCUAAAAGCACGGAGCUUCCGUGCUUCCAAGUUGUUUUGAGUGUGCACUUCGAAUCGUCGAUCGGCUCAGUUAAACAUCGAUUAGAGUAUUGAAGUACCUAGAAAAUAAAAUUUGCAUUUUUCGAUAUCAUUUGCCUAAGUGAACUAAGGGCUCAAAAUCAACGGCUGAAAAUAAAAUCUUACCAAAAUGUGAUACUAUGACAUUAAAAUUUUAGAUCAAGAUAUUGAUCUUGUUUUAUAUAGUAUAAAGAAUUUUCUAUCAAAUUUCACGUGUUUGAAUAUUUCUACAACCGUUAAACUUGCAAACGGCUCACCACGGCCAUUAAAAUUAUUAAUUUUGAGCCCCUUCGAUCACUAGCAAAUGAUAUCGAAAAAAUCUAAAAUUUAUUUCUAAGUACUUCAAAUACUCUAGAUCAAGUUAAUGGAGCCGAUCACGAUUCGAAUGUCCAACAUCAAAAACGACUGAAACACAGAAGGCCCGUGCUUAAAGCUCCGUGCUUCCAGAAGCAUAGUAGCCUCACUCUAUAGUAUAUAUAUAUAUAUAUAUAAUAGAAUAGAAUACUUGUAAAAGUCAACCACAAGUGAUACUUGUGUGUUUUUAGCCCUUGGAUGGAGAUGUGAGGUUGAGAUGAUGGUGGUAGGUGGAUGGUAGGUGGAAUAGUGUUUGAUCCAGGACUAUUAGUAAUCCAAAAAGUAGAUCCAAUGGCUAAAAACACACAAGUAUCACUUGGUGAUACUUGUAAAAGUAUUCUAGCCCUACUCUAUAUAUAUAAUAUAUAUAUAUAUAUAUAUAUAUAUAUAAUAUAUAUAAUUUUGAAUAUAGUAUAAUAUAUAUAUAUGCAUGCAGCUGAAAAUAUAGUAAUUACAACUACAUGUAUUCUGUUUGGUUGGAUGUACUAGAAAAUAGUGCAAUUACAAAUAAUUUGUUUGGUUGAAUGCAGUUGAGAAAUAAUUUUUAAAUUAUUAUCAUUUUAUAUAUAUGAUGGUGAGAUUAUCUCCAAUGUAAAAAGAAAUUUUUUUUUUGUUUAAAAAAUAAUUAGGGCGGUAAGCUUACCUUUUAUUUAAAGUUAUUCUCUCCAACUGUUGCAAUUAGAACUGCGAUCAAUUUGAGCAUAGUUUCAACUGUUGCAAUUGGGUCUCCUCCAACAUGCAAUUCCUACUGCAACAGUUUGAGUUAAAUAUAUCAAACUAAACAUCAAAUUUGUAUUUGUAAGUACAGUUGCACGUGUAACCAAAAGAUCACUAAUUACAUUAGCUCUACAGCAGCACAGAAGCUUAAGUAAAAGAUGUAAAAAUUAUUUCUUCAGGAAUAAUAUUUAGUAUGACCUCUAAAAGUUAAGAAUUAUUUAAUAUACUUUUUGGUAGACCAAAAUGUUGUUUGGAUUUUUAAAAAAUUUCUUAAAAUAUUACAAAAACUUAAAGGUUCUCUAAUAGAAUUAAAUUUUAUCAGGGUAUUUAGAAUAUUAAAAAAUAUAUUUAAAAAUUCUGAAUAAUAGUGGGUGAUAAAUAAAGAAAAGCUUCUCUCUUUCAGAUAGCAUGGUACCAAAGUUGGUUUACAUUAUGGGUGGCAAUCCAGCUCGCUGUUCAUCAGCCAACUCGUGUUCGAUUUGAAAUGAGCUUGAGAUCGAAUCGCUCAUUUAAUAAAUCAGCCAAAUACGAACUAAAUUUUUCAGCUCGUUUAAUAAACAAGCUGAACACAAACUGGAAUAAGCUCGCUCAUGUUCGGCUCAAUAACAACUCGAAUAUAUAUAUUUUACAUUUAUAUAUUUUAUGCUUAUAUAUAAAUAAAUCAUUAUGUAUAUAAUACAGAUUUUUAAUGUUUCAUCUUUAGUCCAAUCUAAAUAUAAAAUCCAACUCAAUUAUAAAAAAGACUCAUUUAUAUAUAAAAUUUCAACGGUUAGAUCAAAGUCUAGUGGAUGAAAUUUUAUAAAUUUAUUUUCAUACAUAUCCUUUCUAAUCCUUUUAGUUUGUUGUUCGUGAGCCAGCUCGAACAUAACCUGAAUUUUUCAGCUCGAUACUUUAAAGUUCGGCUUUUUUUUGAAAUGAAUCAAACACGAGCUACCCCAGCUACCUCGUGUUAGGCUUCUUUUCCUUCUUUUUUUUUGAAAGAUAGGUAGCAUCCUAUCCGUUUCGUUUAUUUCAUUUAGAAAUAAACUUAGCAAGAAAUGUGAAUCAAUUGGGAUUUGAACUUGAGACCUCAUGUACCAAUCAUUAAGCCUUUUGCCACUUACGCUAGGAACGGCCGGUCGUGUUAGGCUUGUUGACACCCCUAGCUUACAUCUCGCCCAGGUUUAGUGACCAAAAAGUAGAGGGACCAAAUUAUAAUAUUGCAACAAUUUAGGGACUAACCACACAGUUUAAAAAUUGUUGCAACUUCCAACCUGCCCUACCGGAUCUCAAAAUUAGGAUGUGGGUGGAUACAGGAUACCCGAAUUUUACCUGUAUGCAAACCCAAAGGAUGCUUAUUUAAUAGAGAUACUAAAUAGAUAUAAUUUUGAUUAUAAGUAUAAAAAAUAAAAGACAGGGAUUUACUUAUGGCUUCAAUCUAUACCUGAUUUGAAUCUAAAGCCGAAACCUAACCUGAAUCUGAACCAAUUCAGAACGGAUUUUAUACAAUAUAAUAUAUAGAAAUUUAAAUUUAUACUUUAAAAUUUAGUAAAACUAAAUAAUUGCUUUCGGAUUCGGAUUUUUGGAUGCGGCCUAAGGUAUCGGCUUUUUUUUUUCUUGUAAUUCAAUUUUUGUUAUGUACUUCCGAAAGGUUCGGAUUUGAAUUUCAUCUCAAAAUAGAGGCAUUAUUGUUGCCGGACAAUAUUUUAUGGAUAUAUUCUCCGAAUAAAAAUUAUUUGGGAAUUUGUCCGAAUGGACAUCAGAUGGCGAGUGGCAUCCAUCCCAACUGUCCAGUAAAAAAUAAUUUUAUUUGAAAACUAUGUUCAUAAAAUUUUUGUUAAUUAUCGCACACAAUGGUUGUAUGGAUAGAUCUCAUGUACUGUUGCUGAAAAUUACUGCAAUAGAGACCUCAUUUUAAAUUCUAAUUUAUUUAUUUGAAGCACUUUUAUGUAUCAAAAAAUUAAAAAAUUUGGACAUCAUAUUCAUAUGAAUCAAAUUCUAAAUUCUUGAUUUAUGUAAAACGCGUACCCCAAAUGAUUAAAAAAUUCAUGUCCAAAUCCUAACCCAAACCCAAAUGAUUAAAACAAUUCAUGUCCAAAUCCUAACCCAAUGUAAAAUCGAAAAUCCAAACCUGAAUCCAAAAAUUCAAGUCUGAAACAAUUAAUUCUCUUUACCAUAUAUAUUAAAAUUUAAAAUUUUAAAACACAAGUUCAAACAUAACAUCAAAUAUUUAUAUAUAUUAUAUAAUCUAAAAUUAAUUUUGACCUGAAUUCGAAUUAGAUUCCAAUUUGAGUCAAGUAGAGACAAAAUCAAUACUCAAAAUCCGUUGAGUUUUUAUUUUUUAUAUCCAUAUAGGAAAUCAAAUUCGUCUAGUAACUAAUAAAUCCACCCAGUUUAAAUUAGAGAUGAAAUUUCACAUAUCUGUAUUUAUUGACAUCGCUUGAGGCCACGGGAUGUCAUGUCUUAAUACAGCUGUUGGGUUAGUCUUAUGAAAUGGAUUUAUGCUAUGGGAACCCACAAAAGUACCCUAAAAAGUAUCACUAAGCUAAUGUGUUAGCUUAAUGUUUAGGAUAAACUACCUGAUUAAGUUAAAAAAAUCCACUCAUCAAAAAUAAACAUAUUUGGGAGUUUAUUGCAAACGAUAAACCUGGUGUCAAAUCAAUUAUCUAUUUACAUCUAUUUAUUUAUUUUUUUAAUUUUUUAAUUAUUAUUAUUUUUACACUGAGAAAUCAUUGCCUGCAUCCGGUCUAAAUUCAUUAUACCCACCAAAUUUAUUUUUAGGGUUAAUUUUAUAUAGAUCCCUACAAAUAUAAUAAAUUAUAAAUAUAUUUCUACAAAGUUCAACUUUUAUAUAUUAUUGUAAAAGUACUAAUGUUUUCAAAUAUGUCUCUCUGAUUUGUUACCGUUAAAAUACUAUCUAUUUUAUAAGUGAAAUCACCUUUUUAUCAUCACAAAUAUCUCCAUCCAAAAGUCCCAACUAUUUAAGAGCGAUAAAAAACUCAAUUCACCUCGUUAAUGUCACACUCCGGGACCCAGCGGAAGCCCACUCAGCACGUGCACAGACCCCCCAUGUAUACCAAACAACCACGAUGCACACAAGGCGUCUACUAAAAACUAGAAAUGAACAAGAUAAAGUCCUAAUAAGGCUAUCAGAGCGAGUAUAUAAAAUCACUAAUAUUCUAGUACAAAGAGAUCCACAAAUAUACAAAGUGUAACAACUAAAUCCAAGAGACUAACAAUAUCUCUAAAAUCAAAUACAUAAUACAUUUUUCUACAAGAUACAAAAAAGAAAGAUGAUAACGGGUCCAUCUAAAUAACUCCGUAGGAGCUCUAGCUAGUCGCUAACCCUUUGCCACGAUCCCCAGCCUCUCCCGCCGCGGAAGGCUCUGAAAUAAAAACCAACAACAAAUGAGGAUGAGAACUAUUAAACAAUAGUUCCGAGUAAGUAAGCUGCAAAGAAUGACGAAAUACACUACUAGGUCAACUGAGACAUGCUAUAAAGAGGUAAAUAAAUAGCAUAUAUAAAAGGUAAAUAAGUUAAACAUGUUUAAUCAUAGUCAUGCCUCUAUUACAAGUUUAACUAUCAUGUAUAUGAUGUUCUAAUCUCAUGUAAUCAACUAUAUGUCAAUGUUAAAACACAUGCAUGUUCAUUAUUUCAUAAUGCUACAUGUUAGUCAUUCAUGGCAUUGACACUCUAGUGGUAGUAUAUUUACAAUCGAUGUAGAUAUAAACAUGUUUAACUUNUCUAAUCUCAUGUAAUCAACUAUAUGUCAAUGUUAAAACACAUGCAUGUUCAUUAUUUCAUAAUGCUACAAGAAUAAUUAUACUUUCCAUUAUUAUUCUAUCCAUGAGUCCAUACAAUCAGUGUUGAUGUAAAUAUACUACCACUAGAGUGUCAAUGCCAUGAAUGACUAACAUAAGAUCCACAAUAUGCACUAUCAUGCAUGUCCACUAGUCCAACUAAUAUGCACCAUUCUAGUAGUAGUUUUCACAUUACGCUUUAGGUGUCAUUUUUCAAAUCCAAUCAAGGACCCACACUAGUAUAGUCCGGCUUGUGCCGACUAAUUACCCGUGGUAGCUCCAACAUUUUCACUCUAGAAAUGACUCGAUCCCACGCGGGCCCAGUACUUACACAAGUAUAGUCCGGCUUCUGCCGCCUAAUUGCCCGUGAUAGCUCUAACAUUCUCACUCUAGGAAUGAGUCUAUCCCACGCGGGCCCAGUAGACGUAUGUCGCAUAAGCUAACUCCGGAGUGCCGGCUUGUGAAGAGCGACCCUCACAAAUAUGUGCGAAUGAGCAUAAAUGGCAAGCAAGCAUGAUCAUCGUCUCAAAUACAUGGUCGUCAUGUCUCCAACAUGGUACAAAUUCUAACAACCCAAAAGUUUAGAUCUAUGUCAUAAUAUAAAGGUUAACUAUUUACUAAAUCGAAUGCCACUUAAUGACAUUAAUGAUCUCCAUGUUCAACGCAUGUCCUUCUUCAUGAGCAUGUAAAAUCUUGUCAUUUUACUAAAUAUAACAAGACUUCCAACAUAAUAUAAAGAUGCUAUUUCACAUGCAAAUUUACUAUACAAUUCUCUCUCUCUACUACAUAGAGACUAUAAUUGUGACACGUAACACAUAUGCCUUAAACAUUCAAACAUUUAUGAUGCAUCUCAUGCUCAUGCUUUUUUACCAAUGCCUCCACUACAUGAAGUGAUAAACUAUCAUACAAGUGAUUUCAUAUUAUAAUAUUUACAUGCACAUUUUCCUCCUGUCAUUCACCCAAGGGCGUUCGAAUCUCAUAUCACAUGUCCAACACAUGGAAUGCAACUAUCGAUGCCUAGAUCGAAUGCAAUAUCACAAUGUUAUAUACUAGUUGUUCCACUAGAUGAGAUUCAUCAAACAUAGUCUCAUGUUGACCCUAACAUGCUCUUUCAUCACAAUGUCAUAUUUGCCUUGUCUACCACAAGUAUACCUCAACAUGCAACUAAGUACCAAUUCUCCUUUAUUUUACAUGUCAAAGUCAUGAGGCGUAGCUAUCAAUCUCUAAGGCAAAUACAAUAUCAUAAUGUCAAACCCUAGUUAUUCCACUAGGUUAAAUACCACAUGCUUAAUUUCAUGUUUAGCCUUGUUAUUCACUAGGUCACAAUGUCACAUUACUUGUCUACACAAGUACUUUGCUCAUCAUGUGAGAUAAUCACUUUUCUAACUCAUUCACUAGUUACCCUCCAAGGUGUGUAUCAUCACUCAUAUUCUAACAUGCUUUCUAAGAUUGUAUAAAAGAGAGUUCAUUAUGUAGUGUCACUGUGUGCUCAAGUCCACAUAUAUGGCUCUACUACAUAGAGUAUGAAAUUUUUACUACACCUAACAUAUACAUAUUAUGUUCUCAUAAAUUCUAGCAUGUCAUAAUGAGCAUGAAAAAGUAUCUAUUUAUGUCUUAAAACCCAAAGGAAGACAUAGGGGAGUUCACCCAUUUUGAUGAGGUCAAACACACCGGAAGCACUUCGAACCCUUUCGUUCCUUCGAACGAAAUUGCCCACCGAAUUUCUAACACCCUAAGAGAAAUUCUAAAGGGUUAGAAACUCCAAAACAACUAUUUCGAAAAUCUUCGAAAAACACACACACAAUAAGGUGAAAAGAAUACCUUUGAUCAAAUUACACUUGUCCAAAGCACAAAUCGAAGCUUCCAAACUUCAAAUCCAACCUACAAGAGUGUUCUACACUCAUUAAUUCCAACUCAAAAGCUUCCAAAUAAAAAGGCCCAAACAAAAUUGUGACACCCCAAUAAUCCCACAUCGAAUGGGAAUGGAGUUGUCAUUGGAUUUAUAAGAGACUUAGACACUAGUAAUAAUAACUGGGCUUAAGUAUUUUGGGCUGUGGUUGGGCCCAACGAGUUAUUAUUGCUAGUGGGCUGGGUCGUUACAUUUGGUAUCAGAGCCGAUUCACCAGCUGGACAUGUGUGGCGAGUCUCGGCUGAGCCAGGAUCUGGAUGAUGGGCUAGCGAGAUAAAUCUCACAUCGCCUGGUGAUCUUGGGCUGUAUGUGUGAUUGGACUGACGAGGACGUCAGGGCCUUAACGGGGGGAGUCUGUGACACCCCAAUAAUCCGACAUUGGAUGGGAAUGGCGUUGUUAUUGGGUUUAUAAGAGACUUAGACACUAGUAAUAAUAACUGGGCUUAAGCAUUUUGGGCUGUGAUUGGGCCCAACGAGUUAUUAUUGCUAGUGGACUGGAUCGUUACAAAAAUCCUAGUUUCUACAAAAUUAGGUUUCAUCACAAGAAAUCCACUAAGAGGUGAAUCAAAGGGAAGAUUAAACUACUAACCUUUCUUGAAGCUCCAAACCAAGUUAGAAGUGAGCUGGAAAGGUCACCAAAAAGUAAAGAGAAGCAAAACAGGUGAUUAAUCCUCUAAAAUCCAAGCAAAAAUGGAAGGAAAUCAAAGAGGGGAUGAGAAGAGGCUCCUUACCCUUCUCUCCUCAUGUUCCAGGCUCAGGGAACACAAGAGGGAGUGUGGGGUAUUUGUAGAGUAGUAACAAUUUCAAAAACACCCCUCAAGAACAAACCGUCAGUAAUCUGCAUUGCGUACCGGUGACACAGGAUGGGGUACCGGUACCAGGCAGCAUCACACGCAAACCCGAAUCUCGGGUUGGCUAGAAAACACACUGGGUACCGAUACCAGCGCAAUACAGUACCGGUACCAGACCCAGUACCGGUACUCGGGCAAUGCAGUACCGAUACUCUACCCUACAGAGUCCAACCCGAGAACGGCCCAAAUUCUACAAUUUAGAGAUUUUGGUGCUAAGUUUUCAUUCUCGCUCCUCGGGAUGCGAGUCAUAGGUCGGAACACAGUCAACGACCAUACAGAAAAUCUAAAGAGGCUGAGAUCACCAAUCAAACACUCGAACCUUACAAUUUGCUAAAUUUCAGUGUGUUACAUUAACUAACUAGGGUUAAAUAUUUUACCUAUUGUUAACUAAUUUUUUCUAACGGGUCCUACCGGCACUGACAUAUUUGAAAAUACUAGGAAUUUUACAGAAUAACAUAUGAAAGUUGAACUUCGUAGGAAUUUAUUUGCAAUUCACUAUAUUCGUAGGGACCUCUGUAAAAUUAAUCCUUAUUUUUACAACUAAUACGAUGAAUAGGAUCUAUAUUUUAAUAUAACUAUUCAAACACUAUUUUUUUAUUUCUGAAAACAAUCUAAUUUAAUCCAAAUGUAAAAUUAAUCUUAUAUUCGUUCAUUUUUGAAGAAUUGUACCAAUAUCAGGAAUAAGCAAAAUAAUUUAUCCUGAAACAAACAAUACCCAGGUGCAAGCCAUACUUUCUCCUUCAAUUAUUAUAAAUUCUAUGGUUAGUCCCUGUACUGUACAAAUAUUGCAAGCCAACCCUUAUACUUGUUACAUACACAUAGAAUGCAAACAGGGCGGAUCUGGCGGAGGACCCCAGCCUUGCCUCCCGCCCCAACUAUCAGAGUCCUGCCUUCCGUCCAGUUCCGAAUAUGCGACAGGUUAAAAAUAUAUUUUAUAAUCCGCCUCACCUCAUAACUCACCUCCCGCCGACGUCCUGAAUCCGCUCCGCCAAUUAAUAUUUUUAAAAAAAUUAUAAUAUUAUUAAUAUUUUGUAAAAUAUAAAUUAAUAAUUUUUAAUAAUAAUAAAUAAUAUUAUUAAGUUAUAUAUAUAAUUAAUAAUAUUAAUUAUAAAAAUAAAAAAUAUCAAUCACAAUUCGAAGCAAAAUUUAAAAGCUUCAAAUAUAUGAGAAAUGAGAGCGCCAACUUAUUUGUAUUUUACACUUUUUUUAUAAAUAUAUUAUGUUUUAGAAAUAUUUUUUAAAAAUAUAUACGAUUUUCGGAGUAAAUCAUGACAGAGCGGAUUCAGAGCAAGUCAAAAUUUUUUCGUUUACUGUCCCGAAUCCGUCUCGAAUUAUAAAAAUUAUUCUAUUUUUUAGUCGGAAUUCGUUUUUUUUUUUUUUUAUUUACUACUUUACUCAGAACGGACCGGAGCGGAAACUCCGCCAACCCUCAACCCUAAUCCAUUGGCAUCCCUACUUACACGUCCUUGGAUCAAACUUUAGGGCACACUUUACAAUUUAAUUAAAUUUAAUAAUAUUUUUUAAAUAAAAUUAUGUAUACAUCAAAUCAAUAUAUUUGAUGUGACAAUUGACAGCUGAGACAACAUAGCAUUAAACUCUAUACUAAAGUUGAAACUAAAUGUCGUUUCCCAUCGAGCCACAUGGUGGAUUUUCUCUCUCCCUCACAUGUUCUCUCUCCUUCACAUGGACCCACAUGGGCUAUAUUCAAGUGACAUGCAUGGACUCACAUGGGCUAUGAGUAGAAAGAGUUGGGGGGAAGAUGCAUGCAUUGUAAUAAUAAGAAAGAUAGCAAAAGUACAAAAAAUAUUAUAUGUACUAUGCAAUUUUUUGUUUUAUGAAUGAUGUUAAAUAAUAUUGCUAUAUAUAAAGUUAAGAAAAAAAGCAAGAGGGCAAGGAAUAUGCUGUGUAGUAUGAAAAAUUUUGUAAGAGAAAAGUUUAUGUUGUGCGUGAGAUACUAUUUUUAUUGGAGUUAGCAAAGUAAAAACAAUUUACAAAUAAUUCAUAGUGUAAUUGGAAUCAAAAUAGGAGAUUUAGAAUAACCAUAUUGCAAAGGAAUUUAACAGUGCGGCCACUUCUGAAAAUCAACUUAUUAUACCUAUUAAAAAUAGUGCUCAAGUGGAAAAUACUAUUGGCGAAUAUAAUCCUACCGAAAGCCAAUCAAGGUAUGAUUAAUAAACAAGUUAAGAACUGAUUAUAAAUUAAUGUUCUGUCUGUGGGAAAAAAAAUCUAAUAAUUAAUGUUCUGUCUGUUCAAAAAAAAUAAAAUUAUUGACUUGCAGUAUUUUGUCAAGCAACGAUAGUGAUUUGCCUAUUGAAACAUCUGCUGUAGCAAAAAAAUUACGUUUGUAAGUAUUAAUAUUUUUAAAAUAUUAUUUGUAUUUUUUAUUCCACCAUAUAUAUAUGUAUAUAUAUAUAUAUAUAUAUAUGUAUAUAUAUAUAUAUAUAUAUACGUAAUAUAUAUAUUAUAUAUAUAUAGAUAUAUAUAUAUAUAAUAUAUAUAAUACGUAUAAUAUAUAUAUAUAGUAUAUAAUAUAAUAUUAUUUAUAUAUAUAGAGCGAGGCUACCUAUACUAUCGGAAGCACGGAGCCUUCAUGCUUCGAGCUCGUUUUCGAUGUUGCGACUUUCGAAUCGUCGAUCGCUCGUUAAACUUGAUCUAGAGUAUUGGAGUACCUAGAAAAUAAAUUUUAUUAUUUUCGAUAUCAUUUGACUAAUGAUCGAAUGGGCUCAAAAUCAAUAAAUUUUAAUGGCCGUAGUGAGCCGUUUGCAAGUUUAACAGGUGUAGAAAUAUCCAAAUCACGUAAAAUUUGAUAGAAAAUUAUUUAUACAUAAUAAAACAAGAUCAAUAUCUUUGAUUUAAAAUUUAAUGUAUAUUAUUACAUUUUGUAAGAUUUUUAUUUUCAGCCGUUGAUUUUGAGCCCCUUCGUUCACAUAGGCAAAUGAUAUCGUAAAAUUAUAAAAUUAUUUUCUAGGUACUUCAAAUACUCUAGAUCAAGUUUAACGGAGCCGAUCGACGAUUCGAAAGUCGCAACAUCGAAAACGAGCUGGAAGCACGGAAGGCUCCGUGCUUCUAUAGCAUAGUAGCCUCACCUAUAUAUAUAUAUAUAUAUAUAUAUAUAUAUAUAUUAUAUAUUAUAUAUAUAUAUAAUAUAUAUAUAUAUAUAUUGUUCAUACUUAGCAGUUCGAAGACUGGAGAAGGACCAAGCAAAGUUAACACCCGCAAGAAAUCAAGUGGAACCGAUAGGCCAUAAUGAUCUAAGAACUGUUUUAUCAAUUAUAUUUGCAUUAUCAAAAACAUUAUAUCAUAUUAGAUAAUCUAUAGUAUAUAUUUAGUUAUCUUACAUAAUGUGAAUGUUAUAUAUAUCUGUAAUUUCGUAAUAAAUAAAUAUAAUUACAGUCAUAUUAUUAGCUCUCAAUAUUACGACCUCCGCCGCGAAAUGCGGGUCAUUACACUAGUUUAAUAUAUAAAAUAAAAAGUAUCACACUUGCGACAAUGUGAAAUACAUUUAUUAUAUAAAUGAACAUCAUAUGAAGGGCAUUAUUCCUAGGAUCUAGUAAAUAAAUUAAAAAAAUUAAUAAGAUAAUUGAUAUUUGAUUUGUGAUGAUAAUUCAGUAUUUUAUAAGUAAAGGAUAUCAUACCUAUGUCAAUUUUUUUUAGUUUUCUUAAAAGAGAGAAAUAAUUAGCUACUUGCUUUUCUCUCUCUAUUUUUUUUUAUUUUAUAAAUGAAACUCCAUGAAAAAUAUAAAAUAAUAAAAUUUCGAGCUUGAAAACUCGAAUACCAAUUACUAAGUCAUUGUAAAUAAAUUUAACAUACCAUUUGAUAAUUAUUUUAAGGUGAUAACUUAUUAUUUAAUAGAUAAGGUAUGCCAUAUAUAUAUGCCAAAUCAUUAUUAAUACGAUAAUAGUUUUUUGCAUUCUUUUAAUUCCUUUUUUAUAUUAUAUUUUAUUUUAUGAAAUUAAUAAUAACAUUUUUAUUGAUGAUAUAGAAAAUUUUAAAUGAUAAUUGAAAACGGACAUGACUGACAAUGCAAAUAUAUUUCAAAACCAUUUAUUUUUAUUUGUUUAAUUUUAAAUAUGUGGUAUACAAAACCAAAUCAAAAUAAUAGAUCAUUUUUAUAUUCAUUUUUAUCUUAUUGAAAUUAUGGUAUAAUUUAAGCACACCGUUCUUUUUUUAUUUAUAUUCUAUAUUAUUUAAUUAAUAAUAUAUUUUUGGGCUUUUUUUUGUAUUUGGCCCCUUUAAAAAAAAAAUUUUACAAAUAGUCCCAUCAAAUUUAUAAUUACAAAUUUAGCCCUAUUUUCGCCACGCAGGUAUCACAUCAGCACUACGUAAGCUAGAGGGGUGCUAAGUUGAACACGGUAAAUCAUUCACAAUGUUCAAAUGCGGUGAAUGAUUCACCGUGUUCCACACUUAUAUUCCCGUGUUUAAAUACGGUGAAUAGUUACCGUAUUCGUAUUUAUAUUUUUCUUAUUUUUUUAGCAAUAUAUAUAUUUGUAUUUUCUCCAAACACAAUAAACCAUUCACCGUAUUCAACUUAACAAACUGGCCCCAGCCGCGCUCACGUGGUGCUGAUAUGCUGCCUGCAUGGCAGGAUUAAUUAGGGCCACUUUUGUAAAUAUAAAUUUGCCGAGACUAUUUUUAAAAUAAAUUUUUUUCAAGAGGCUAAAUGCAAAAAAAAACCCUAUAUUCUUCAUAUUAUUUAAUUACACUCAAAAUUUAACAUAUUCUAUAUAUUACAAAAUAAAGAUUUUUUUUAGACAAAUUUCACGCAUAAGGUUAGAGAUCCAUAAACUUAAAUUUGUAUAUAGUAAAUUCGAUCAUGACGUAUGAUGUUGAAAGCCUGCCGAAUUUUGAACUCGGCAAGUUAUGUUACAUUACCCAACAAAUUUUUCUAACCUAUAAUUUAACAUAUUUUUUAAUAAAAUUUUAUUUUUUUUUAUAUAUAUUAUUAUUUUAUUAUAUAACGCUACAACAGAAUUAGAUUAUAGGGGCACAUGUUUAGGACACUUUUGUGUAAGUGUCUCAUUUAUGCAAAAAUUUUAAAAAAAAAUCUACUAAUGCCUAAAUAUAAAGUCCAAUCCAACAAAAAUAAAAAGUUACUCUACUCAACCCACCCCACCUAGCCCAUUCGGCCCAAUUACAAAUAGAAAAGAAAAAGAAAAGAAAAAUUGAUUACGAUUUUUCCUUCUCCCCUCAUUCAAUCGAUUGAAAUUCUAUAUGAAGAUCCAUUCCUCUCGCCCUCCUCCGCCACCGCAGCCAACGAGAUAGAGUUCCAACGGUUGCUAAAUAUUUAAAUAAAUGUUGGUAAAUUAACAGCAUUUUUUUUAGAUUAUAGCGACACUCUUUAACUGUCACUAUAUACCUAACGACCCCACAUAUAGCAACACUUUUUAAAAGUGUCGGUAAUUUAGCCAGCAAUAUUUUUUUUGACCUGUACCGAUAUUUAAAAAUGUCGCUAUAGACCGUUUUUGUUGUAGUGUAAUAAUAUGUAUAGAUAUAAUUUUCAGCAAAGGGUGGGUUUUGCACUACUGUGAUAUUUAAGCUAGGGUUUAUCCAUUGCUUGUGUUGGACCCAAGUUCACAUCAUAUCAAUGUUAUGAAAUAUCUAAUAUUAAAAUUCAAACAAAUCCAAAAGAUUAAUGCUAAAAAUAUGGACUCACUGCCAUCUAUAUAGAUAUCUUCUCGUUUUAUUCGGGAUUCUUUUUUUUCCAAAUAAAUUUUUAACUAUCUCCUCAUUUUCCAAAAUUAAAUCAUGUGGCUCCCAUAUAUCUGAUUCUAUUUUUCCACACUAAGCAGUUUUUUUCCUCCUUAAAACCAAUUAUGAGUAUUACAUCAAAGUCUAACACAUAUCCUUUAAACUCUUUAUAAGCCAACGAAACUUACUUAUCUGAGUCUAUAUAUGGGAGCCACAUGAUCCCCCUUCUCGCCCGCUCUGCCACCGACCGCAGCCAGUUGCAGACGAGGCCCAAGACAAGGCCCAACGGUCCUUCUUCCCCUGCUUCGGAGGCAUUCUUUCUCUUAGGGACAGCCCAGAGCCCAGCUUUGCUCAAGUCGGCUUUGCUCAAGGCGGACCCCCCCUUGGGACGGGUAACCCUUCUCGCCCGCUCCCCACGGGGGACUUCUUUGAGCCGGUCCUGCUUGGUGAUGGAGACGGCCGAGGUCUUUCUGUUGGGAACCCCGAUCUCUACGCCACUCGAGGCUCUCCUGGUGCUGCUGCUGCGAUGGGUUCUUGUGCCGGAGCUCCCCUCGAGAUGGGCCUCCUUCUUCGCACCGGCCGUUCCCGUGCUCUUGCGGAAUCUCUUUCUGCCCCGAUCCCGCCGGAAGGAGGUGACGGGGAGGAGGCCGGUGGGGCUGGGUAUCUUCCGAGCGUCAGGAGAGGAGCGACUAGGUCUAGUCCACGCGUGCGGGAUCCAGCCAACAUUUCGGCUCUUGAACGGGCGAAGCGUAGGAAAGCGAUCCUGCGGGAAGGUGUCAUCUCUAGCUCGGCGAAACUAGCUCGCAAAUGGAGCUCAAAAACGGUGCUGUCGAAGGGUGCCCGCUGCGGAGUGAAGCUCUCGGAGGUUGACGCGGAGGAGCUCCACAAGUUUAUGUUGAGCGGAUAAUUAGCUGAGGGGCGGGUUACUAUGUGGUUUUAUAUUUUGGGGUGUCGCUGUGUCUGAUGUUUAAUAUUAUCUCUUGGAAUGUUCGUAGUCUGAACGACCCGGUCAAGCGUCGUGCGGUUAAGACUGUCGUGUCUAAGCACUUUUGUUCCGUAGUUUGUUUUCAAGAAUCAAAAGUAGAUUCGGUAUCUAGAUCGUUUCUCCGCUCUUUCUGUGGCUCAAAAUUCGAUAGAUGUCAGUUUAUCCCUACUUGUGGGGCGUCGGGCGGUUUAAUCACUGCGUGGAAUUCUAAAUCUUUUUUAUGUUGGGAGGUUUUGGUGCGUGAACGCUCGCUCACCCUUAAUUUGAAGCAUGUUGCCAGCGGAAUGAUUUUUUUCCUUUCAAACGUCUAUGGGCCACCAACUUGGGACGGGAAGGAAGAGUUCUGUUCUGAACUUAUUUCACUGAGAGACUUUUGCUCCAAUAACAGAUGUCCUUAUUCUCAGAUCUCAUUUCAAACCUCGAGGUCAUUGAUCUACCCAUAUCCAACCAAUGUUUCACCUGGUCUAACAUGCAAAGCGCACCUUCCCUGGCCAAGCUGGACAGAUUUCUAGUGUCGACUGAAUGGGACCAAACUUUCCCUCAUGGCAGGGUCUCAGCACUGCCGAGGAUUACCUCGGAUCAUACCCCGAUAGUGCUGACUACUAGGGCCAGCCCGAAGCCGGGGAGAUUUCGGUUCGAGAAGGUCAAGCUCACUAAAGAGGAUUUCUCUGUUAGGGUACCGGUCUGGUAGAAUGAAAUCACCAGCAAGAGGUCGGCCAUCCUCACUCUUACGGCAAAACUCAGACACUGCAGGGUCAGAAUGAAAGAGUGGUGUAAGACGGAGUUCUACAGCAUUUCCAACGCUAUAAAGUAUAUUCAAGACGAUAUCCGUAGCAUCGACUUGAUUGAGGAACAGUCCUCCCUGUCACAGGAGCUUCGGGAUAAAAGGGUAAACCUUAAGGCUCAGCUUCAUCUCAUCCUUCAAGAAGAAGAAAUUCUAUGGAGAACGAGAGCGAAACAGCAUUGGCUUAAGGAGGGUGACAAGAACACUAAAUUUUUUCACGCGGUGGCCAAUGGUCGAAAACGAAGCAAUGCGAUAGAGUUUAUCGAAGAUGAUUCUGGCAAACCUAUCCACAACGACGUCCUAAAAAGAAACUAUUUAUUCCACGCCUUCUCACGCCUUUUCGGGCAAGAGGAAACAGGUCCUUCAACUGGCGGAGAUUGGAGUGAUCUGUACCGGGAGAAGUCUCUAACUGACCCGGACUCCCUUACUAGCCCUUUUACUAUGGAAGAAAUUAAGAAAGCUACCUUUCAGCUAGGUGGUGAGAAGGCACCUGGACCGGAUAGUUUUUCUCUAAUCUUCUUUCAACAUUUCUGGGAAACAGUUAAGGAUAACAUCUUCGAUUUAUUCAUAGAUCUCCAGGAAAACAAACUUUUCACGGCCCUGACGGACUACUCAUAUGUGUGUCUCAUCCCUAAAAGGGAAGGAGCUAGUAAGGUGAAUGACUUCCGACCGAUAUGCCUCAUUAAUGGGAUACAGAAGAUUAUCUCUAAAGUUUUGGCAAACAGACUCGCGUUCAUUUUACCGUCCAUCAUAUCGCCUGCACAAUCAGCUUUUUUGAAGGAUCGACUCCUAGCGGACUCGUUUGUUACGGCGAGUGAACUCCUAAAUUGGUGUGCAAAAUCAGAGAAGGAGUGCGUUUGCAUUAAGGUGGAUUUUGAGAAGGCUUACGACAAUGUCAGAUGGACCUUCCUGAAAAGCGUAAUGCGAUGGAUUGGAUUCAGCGAUAAAUGGUGGUACUGGAUAGAGCAAUGUAUAUGCAACGCUAAAAUCGCAGUUCUUGUAAAGGACUCGCCGACAGCUUGGCUGAAAGCAAGGAAGGGGCUUAGACAAGGAGACCCGCUAUCCCCCUACCUAUUCAUCUUGGUGGCCGACUGCCUCGCCAGGAUCACGGAGACAGCGAGGAACAACAACAUGUUCCAAGGUAUUGGUCCAACAAUGGAUUGUCAAACUGUAAUCCUCCAAUACGCGGAUGACACUUUAUUUUUUGCUGAACCUAAAAAGGCCGCUAUGCGUAGUUUGCUUUUUAUUUGGAAAAUGUUCGAGUGGGCAUCAGGCCUUAAGAUAAAUAUGAUUAAGACGGAACUUUACUAUCUAGGCCACAAUGCUAGCAAGGCCUGUGGACUAGCAGAUAUUUUGGGUUGUAAAGUUGGCAACCUGCCAUUUCGUUACUUGGGAUUGCCGUUACACAUCAAACCCCUCCGAAGAUUAGAUUGGACGCCGAUCGUUAACCGUAUUGAGGCGCGCAUUGAAGGGUGGAAGGCUAAAACUCCUCUCACACGGGGGUAGACUCACCUUGGUCAACUCGGUGCUCUCGAAUAUACCUUUUUUCUUCUUCGCUAUCUUCAAAGCACCGCAGUGGGUCCUGAACCGGAUAGAGGCCCUGAGAAGAGCUUUCUUUUGGAAAGGGUGCGCCAAGAUUUCAGGGGGGUCAUGCCUAAUUGCCUGGAAAUCAAUUUGUAAAAGCAAAAAAGAAGGGGGACUGGGGAUCCUAGAUAUGGAAGCUAUGAAUAUAGCUUUAUUAACUAAAUGGUGGUGGCGUUUCUUCAAAGAUCCACAGCUGCAAUGGGGAAGGUUGGUAAGAGCGCUAUAUUACACCAGAAGAAGGCCGUUACUGGAGGGAAAAGGGUUCAGACCUCACUCUCAGUGGUGGAGAAGCGUAAUGACAUGUCGACAGAUAUUUCGUCGCAGCGUAUCGUACACGCUCGGCAAUGGAAAUUUUUGUAGGUUAUGGACUGACAUUUGGAUCGAAGAAACCCCCCUGUGUACUCGGUUUCCACGAAUUUACUCCAAGGUGGUUAACAAUGGGGCUACGGUCUCACAAUGCUGGAAUAGAAUAGGGUGGAGAUGGCAGUUCAUACUCAGAGGCAUUACUAUGAACGUCGACAGUGUGUCUAGACAACAGAUCAUGGCUUUCAAAAUCCUUUUGCAGCGAUAUUGCCUGACGGACUCACCGGAUAUAUUAUGGUGGCGAUGGACGUCUAACCGAUUAUUCACAGUCAAAUCUCUCUACGAAUUCUUUACUGACGCUGGCCAGAGACAACCAACCAACGACAAGCUGUGGAGUCUAAAACUCUCAACCAAAAUCAAAAUAUUCAUCUGGAUCCUACUACGCAAGAGAUUACUUACCGCUGAUAGACUGAUACGCAGAGGGUGCCCGGUGAACGAGUACUGCAUUUUCUGCUCAUUCUCACCUGAGAACUGCGAUCACCUUUUCAAGGAUUGUGUUUUUGUUAGAUACCUCCAAAUUAGCGUCGAUGGAUUGGGUGUCAGCGAUUUAAGAAUAGGGGAUGUUAAGCAACUUUGGACCGACACUGUGGAUUCCUCUAAUGCUGAACAGAGAUCGUUAAGGCUCACACGGUUGGCGGCAAUCUGGUGGGUAGUUUGGACGGAGCGCAACAAGAUCGUCUUCAACGAGGACGCUCCGGACGCUAACCGUGCAAUUGGGCGGAUAGUUGCGCUAACGAAGACUUGGACCGAGGCGAUUGUCCCGUAACCACUCUUUAUUAUCUCGAGUCGGGCUUUUGUUUACCUAUCUAUACUGCUUUUUAUUGUUCUUUUGUUGUUGUUUACUUAUCUGUACUGCUUUUUAUUAUUUUUUUGUUGUUUUUCCGAUUUCGGUAGGGGGCCUUAGCUGUCUCCAUUAUGUACGCUAAAUUCAUUUCGCUUAAUGAAUGAAGCAGGUAGCUCGCUACCUUGUUCUCAGAAGAAAAAAAAAAAAAAAAACUCUUUUAUGAGCAAGUGGUUGGUAUCCGAGACCCAAAUUUGAAUCCUAGUUGAUUCACAUUUCUAGCAAGUUUAUUUCUAAAUGAAAUAAACGAAGCGGGUAGCGUGUUACUUUUUUUUUUUUCAAAAAAAAAACUCUUUUAUGAGUACACCAUAUUACUAUUGUGCCACAUUAUUAUAACUCCUCUAUAAUAGUCUCUUAUAUAUAUAUUUAUUUACAAGAGUUACUAAAGCAUCUCAAUAUAUAUCUCCACACUUUGGAUUUUUUUUGUGAUUUUGUUGGUAGGUGUCCGGUUUUAGAAAAAAAUACCAAUUACAAGUCUAACUUACUUUUUGCAAAAGCAUGAUAUAAUUACGGGAAACUUGCACGUUCAGUCCUCAAAAUAUGAGAUGGGUGACACUUUAUUAAUUGUAGCAAUUUUGGCUCCAGCUUUCAGAAUUACUGGAGUUAAGUUCCAAAAUCCAAUUCGGUUGAUUAUAUAUUGACGCAUUGCUAAAAGUGAUAUAAAAUCUUCUUCUUUUUUUUUUUUUUUUGAGAAAGACAUCUCGUUGAUCUCUUCAUUCAAAUGAAAAAUGAACUUAGCUACAUAGUUAUGACAACCAGGCCUCUUUUUUUAAAAAAAGAAAAAGAAAAAAAAAAAACUAUCUAUACUGUUCAACCCAAAGCAAUACCAAGCCUUGGAUGUUGGAUAGCACAAUGUUGAUAAUUCUUGUUUGUAUCUAUGAAAAUUACAAUGUUCCACUCUAACCAAUCUAACCAAUUACAGAUCACUAAAUUACUACAAGUGACGUCAUCCCUCCUCUUUCUACAUUAAUAAUUGGUCCCCACACUUAGACGACAUCCUCCUGUCCCACAUGUCUCUAACCUCUCUCCUAUCUUGUCUUGUAAUUAAACAUCCUGCCAUUUGCUGACGUGGUAAUUAAAAAGAACAUGUGUAGAUGCACUUGAUGAAUAGGUGACCUAAAUGGCUAGCUUCUAAAUCAUAAUCACAUAUAUAGUACAUAUGUAUAGAGUAGGGUUGUAUCCUCGAUCGAACACCCUCUUUUAUUUUCGAGAUCAUCUGCAUGUUGUGGGAGUUCUUUUCCUAAUUAAGAACCAUUCACACUGCUCAGUGGCAGAGCAUUCAUUGGCCGCAUCUUCUUUGAUUGUUAGUCUAUUUGGUCAACUAAAUUAAAUUGCAGGACUUGAUUGAAAUAAGUUAAAGUUUGAAUACUGUAUUUGUCCAACAAAAAAAAUUAGAGUUGCUGAUGAGAAAGAAAGUGGGUUUCGGGGGUGGAGUGGGUGCAUGGUCUCCUGGAAUCAAUAUCUGCAGGUGGGCUAACCCUAGAUGUAGAGGUGGGAUGGAAGUCGAUCUGUGAUGCAAGGUUUGAUGUUAAUUGAGAAUUUAGGGUUUAGAGUUUAGAAUCGAUUGGUUUUAGCCAAUUAAUUAGCACAUAUCACUCAUCAAUUAAUGCAUUAAGUUAUUGCUUCAUGUGAAAAUUAUUUUUCACAUAUGAAUAUAUAUAUAUAUAUAUAUAUACCUAAUUUGGCUAGCCAUUUGGAAACAAUUUUAUAAUUUAAAUGAACCGCUCAUGUCCGAAAUUCUUUAAAUUUUGUUUCACUAGAUAAGUGAAAAUAUAGAAGAAAAAAAAAACUUCAUCUCCGCUUUUAAUAACUGAUCAAUAUGAUCACGUACGUAAGUUUGUAUUAGAUUUGCAUUUACGUAAAACAAGCACGUUCAUUUAAGAAUAAUUUAGACUUAAUGCAACCAUGGCCUUUAUUUAGUCGCACUAAUCAAUUGUGAGGAAAUUAUUAAUUGUUACUGUACUAGAAAUAGCCACGUUAAUUUAUGGAGUACACGUGGAACCCAGUAUUUAUUAACUCUUAUCUUCUAAGUUAUCCUCUCAUAAUCCUCAGUAGUGCACUAACACGAUUGCCAUUAAUCUUCAUGUCACUUUAGCUUGUUAAAGAAGCACUUAUUUGUAGCUUAAUUCACCUCAAUAAUUAACAUCUCAAACACAUCCGCAAACACCAUGCCACUCCCAGUACCCAACCAAGAAGAGAACAACACUGCAACACCACCAACAUGGGCUUCGCAAACCAAACAAGCGAUAAUUUCCGAGCUCCGAAAGCAGCGGUCCGUCGCCGCGCCGCUGAUCCCGAUGAACUCGACGUGGUUCGCGCGGACGGCAAUCACCACCGCCUUCCUCGGCCGCCUCGGGGAGCUCCCCCUCGCUGCGGGGACCCUCGGGUUCACCUUCGCGAACGUCACGGGCUUCUCCGUCCUCUCGGGCCUUUGCUGGGCCAUGGAGCCCAUUUGUGGCCAAGCCCAUGGGGCCCACAACAAAACUCUCCUCAACAAGACCCUAUUCAUGACAAUUAUCCUCCUACUAGCUGCUUCUCUCCCUAUAUCCUUUCUCUGGCUCUAUGUAGAUAGAAUACUAGCACUCUUUGGCCAACAAAAAGAAAUUGUCACCCUAGCUAAACACUAUGUACUGUUCCUUCUCCCUGACCUUAUAAUCAAUUCAUUUCUUUCUCCUUUUAAAGCUUAUUUAAGCUCACAAGGUGUUACACUCCCCAUAAUGUUGAGCUCGGCUAUUGCACUAUCUUUGCACGUCCCGUUCAACAUCUUUUUGUCGAAAACUAAGGGGCUCGAGGGGAUCUCCAUGGCUAUCGGGCUAACCGAUCUCGUCGCGACGACAACUUUAGGGAUAUAUAUCUUUGUAACGAAUGCGGGAAUCGAGAAAGGAGAUGGCGGAGAAGCAGAAGUGCUUAAAGAGCCAUGGUGGCGCAUUCGGAAGGCGAGCGAGUGGGCGCGACUUUUGAAGCUCGGCGCACAAUGUUGUGCCACGUGCUGCCUCGAGUGGUGGUGCUACGAGAUCCUAACCCUAACCGCCGGGCGGCUGCCCAGCGCACGGCAGAGCGUGUCGGUGCUAGCGAUCGUGCUGAACUUUGACUACCUGCUGUACGGAGUGAUGGUCUCGCUCGCAACUUGCGUAUCCACCCGCGUGUCCAACGAACUGGGCGCGGGACGUCACGGGCCGGCCCGAGAGGCCGGUUACGUGUCUCUGGGCUUGGGUAUCUUAUCGGGCCUCUUAGGCGGGUCGGCGAUGGUGGGCUUUCGCGGAAAUUGGGGCCCGUUGUUUACCCAUGAGAAGGUUAUUAUUGAAGGUGUGAAGAAGAUGUUAAUGUUGAUGGCUAUUGUGGAGGUGUUUAAUUUCCCUAUAGCAGUGUGUGGGGGGAUGGUUAGGGGUACGCAUAGGCCAUGGCUGGGCAUGUGCAGUGUGGUAGGGUAUUAUUUGGUGGGCCUACCAUUGGGCAUCAUAUUGGGCUUUAAAUUUGGGCUUGGGCUUAGUGGGCUCUUAAUGGGCUUUGUGGUGGGGAGUUUUUGUAGUGCUAUUGUAUUGGGUGUAGUGGUUGCACAUGUUGAUUGGGAAGAUGAAGCUAGUAUAGCCAAAGAGUUGGCUUGUGAUAGGAGAGAGAGUGGAAGUGUUAGUGAGGAGAUAAAUGAAGGAUGAGAAAUUUAUUUAUGCUGCAUUUUUCAAAAAAAUUUCGAUCUUCUUUUUAUUGGAAAAUGGAUGUAAUUUUCAUAUGUUAUAUAUAGUAUGUUUGUUUCUUCUUUUUAGUUUGAUUAUUCUAUGUAUCUUGUGGUAAGAGAGGUAUAAGAAAUGAUUAUACAUGCUAAUGUAUUUGAAAGGGAAUGUUAGAUUUAGCGGGUGUCUGUUUGACAAAGCUUUUGUUGGGAGAAAAAAAAAAAUAAAAAAGAGAAUGUCAUCUAAAACUAAAAAUUUCUGCAAACUUUUGUUAAUGUGAACUACUGAUGUUGAAAUGCUAAACUCAACGCCAAAGCGGUGACGGUUCUCAUCAUCAUUUGUUUUUCCACAAGGAUCUGUCGUUGGCAAAGUUUAUUGGCAAAGUUAGCAAAGUGCUACAUUAUUCUAUGGUUUGCAUUUAACCACCAAAUUGUGAAGCAAUAUUGUACUUUACCACCUUUCUUAUGCAAGCUUUUAUGGAAAAUUAAAACAUGACCCGUGGAACGACAAAGUGUUGAUUUUGGACUACAACAUAUUAUAUAUAGAGAGAGAGAGCGUCCGGCUGCUAUGCUAUCAAUAGCACCAAGCAUUUGGUACUAUCAAAUUUUCUGCCGUUAGAUUAACCCCUUUAAUUAUUUUUACCCGUUAGAUCAUACUAUUCAACUAACCACCCACUCAACCCUAGGGAGCCCACAUUAUCCUAACCGCACAUCUCUUAAUCCAAUCGCCAAAAACUUGGUAGCAUCAAUGACUUGGUGCUAUUAAUAGUAUAUUACCCUAGUUAUAUAUAUAUAUAUAUAUAUAGAGUUCGGCUACUAUGCUAUUAAUAGCACGAAGCAUUUGGUGCUACCAAGUUUUUCGCCGUUAGAUCUAUCCUUUCGAUCAUUUUCACCCGUUAGAUUAUACUAUUCAAUCAACCACCCACUCAACCCUAGGGGACCGACAUCAUCCUAACCGCACAUCACUUAAUCCAAUGGCCAAAAACUUGGUAGCACUAAUGACUUGGUGCUAUUAAUAGAAUAUUAGCCUAGUUCUAUAUAUAUAUAUAUAUAGAUAUAUAUAUAUAUACUAUUAAUAGUAUAUAUAUAUAUAAGCACAGCAAUACAACAAGUAAACUAAUUACCUGGUGCACAGCAAUACAACAAGUAAACUAAUUACCUGGUGCACAGCAAUACAACAAGUAAACUAAUUACCUGGUGCACAGCAAUACAACAAGUAAACUAAUUACCUGGUGCACAGCAAUACAACAAGUAAACUAAUUACCUGGUGCACAGCAAUACAACAAGUAAACUAAUUACCUGGUGCACAGCAAUACAACAAGUAAACUAAUUACCUGGUGCACAGCAAUACAACAAGUAAACUAAUUACCUGGUGCACAGCAAUACAACAAGUAAACUAAUUACCUGGUGCACAGCAAUACAACAAGUAAACUAAUUACCUGGUGCACAGCAAUACAACAAGUAAACUAAUUACCUGGUGCACAGCAAUACAACAAGUAAACUAAUUACCUGGUGCACAGCAAUACAACAAGUAAACUAAUUACCUGGUGCACAGCAAUACAACAAGUAAACUAAUUACCUGGUGCACAGCAAUACAACAAGUAAACUAAUUACCUGGUGCACAGCAAUACAACAAGUAAACUAAUUACCUGGUGCACAGCAAUACAACAAGUAAACUAAUUACCUGGUGCACAGCAAUACAACAAGUAAACUAAUUACCUGGUGCACAGCAAUACAACAAGUAAACUAAUUACCUGGUGCACAGCAAUACAACAAGUAAACUAAUUACCUGGUGCACAGCAAUACAACAAGUAAACUAAUUACCUGGUGCACAGCAAUACAACAAGUAAACUAAUUACCUGGUGCACAGCAAUACAACAAGUAAACUAAUUACCUGGUGCACAGCAAUACAACAAGUAAACUAAUUACCUGGUGCACAGCAAUACAACAAGUAAACUAAUUACCUGGUGCACAGCAAUACAACAAGUAAACUAAUUACCUGGUGCACAGCAAUACAACAAGUAAACUAAUUACCUGGUGCACAGCAAUACAACAAGUAAACUAAUUACCUGGUGCACAGCAAUACAACAAGUAAACUAAUUACCUGGUGCACAGCAAUACAACAAGUAAACUAAUUACCUGGUGCACAGCAAUACAACAAGUAAACUAAUUACCUGGUGCACAGCAAUACAACAAGUAAACUAAUUACCUGGUGCACAGCAAUACAACAAGUAAACUAAUUACCUGGUGCACAGCAAUACAACAAGUAAACUAAUUACCUGGUGCACAGCAAUACAACAAGUAAACUAAUUACCUGGUGCACAGCAAUACAACAAGUAAACUAAUUACCUGGUGCACAGCAAUACAACAAGUAAACUAAUUACCUGGUGCACAGCAAUACAACAAGUAAACUAAUUACCUGGUGCACAGCAAUACAACAAGUAAACUAAUUACCUGGUGGUCGAUCGAUGAUCGAUUGUGAAAUCUCGACCGGUACUAGUUUUCUUUGACCAGAUUAAUUAGGCUCUUGCCGAUACAUGAUCUAUCAAGCUUCUUGCUCUUAUAUGUUUCACGUGGCCCCAUCUACAUGAUUAGCAAUUAACGUAGUUGUUGGUGUAACGCCCCCAAUAGUACUGAUUCCGAUCAAUUUAUAUGAGACCUAUACGCUAGUAAUAAUAAUCCGACUUAAGCAUUUUGGGCCGAUGGUUUGAGCCUAACGAGUUAUUGUUGCUAGCGGGGCUGAUCGUUGCAAUUGGUAUCAGAGGCGAAUACCAGCCGGAAAUGUGAGAGCUGAGUGCUAUGCGGGACAAAGUACUACACCAACGGGUUUGGUCGGAGUCACCUCUUGAACCCGUAGGAGCCAUCUCUAGAAUCUCACAUAGCUUCGUAAUUCUGGUCCUGGUUUGUUUGCCUGUGAUCUGGUUUGGACCCGACGAGAACGUCAGGAUCUAAAUAGGGAGAGUUUAUAAUGCCCCAAUAGUCCCACGUCGGAUGAGAUACUGAUUUUGAUCGCGUGACUCUCUUUAUAUAUCUUUGCUAGGUGCUUCUUUUUUUUCCUUUUUUUUUAUUUUGUGUGUGUGUGUGUGUGUGUGUUUUGUUUGUGAUGAGAUACUGAUUUUGAUCGCGUGACUCUCUUUAUAUAUCUUUGCUAGGUGCUUCUUUUUUUUCCUUUUUUUUUAUUUUGUGUGUGUGUGUGUGUGUGUGUUUUGUUUGUGAUGAGAUACUGAUUUCGAUCAGUUUAUAUGAAGCCUAUGCGUUAGUAAUAAUAACUAAAUUUAAGCAUUUUGGGCCGGUGGUUGGGCCCAACGAGUUAUUAUUGUUAGCGGGUCAGGUCGUUGCAAUUGGUAUCAGAGCCGAAUACCAGCCGGACAAAGUGCUAUACCAACGGGUUUGGUGAGAGCCACCUCUUGAACCUGUAGGAGCCACCUCUAGAAUCUCACAUCGCCUGGUAAUGGUUCUGAUUUGUAACGCCCCUAAUAGUCUCACAUCGGAUAGGAUACUGAUUCUGAUCAGUUUAUAUGAGACAUACACGCUAGUAAUAAUAACCCGGCUUAAGCACAAACCAUCGGCUCAAAAUGCUUAAGCCGGGUUAUUAUUACUAGCGUAUAGGCCUCAUAUAAACUGAUCAUAAUCAGUAUCUCAUCCGAUGUGGGACUAUUGGGGGCGUUACAGUGACAAACACAAAAAUUUAGCACAACUGAGCUGGCACGGAUGAAACUGGUUAGGAUAAAUUCUGAUUAAUUUUAACACCAGAUUCGAUGGGAUGCGAAUAUUUUUUAUUUUGAAAAAAAUCGUUCGAAAACAAAAUUAUAUUUAAACAAANGAAAACCGAAUUACAUUAAUAUUAUAUACACAUUUUAUCUAAAUUAGUUGUUAAUAUUUCAUAUUUUUGAUCAAAUCUUGAUUGCAUUACAUUUUUCAAAAUUAUUUAUUUAUGAUCAAGGUUUUUGUGUGAUAAUUUCAUAAUGAUUCUAUUUUGAUUCUUAAAUUAUUAUGAAUUGAUUCAUAAGAAAAUAGACAAUCUAAAACUUAAUUGCAAAACCGAACCAACCCGAAUUAAUUCAAUUUGGUUUGGAUCAGUUCCAAUAAUAACCGGUUCAACUCAGUUGGGUUGUAAAUUUUUUUCAAACCAAAGAAUUCGGUUCGGUUUAAGAAUUACCUAAAAAUCAAACAAAACUGAACCGAUUACUCCCAUACAGAUAAGCUACACUAUAGACCGUCUCUAGCACAAGUGACAUAACAGCUUGAUGGUAGUAUCCGAGAUUUCAAAUUCGAAUUCUUACUAUUUUACUUUCCAACUAAUCUGAAAACAAAUAAAUGAAGUGGUAACAUGCGAUCAUUCUCUAAGUAAGCUAUGCUAAAAAAAACUUUUUUAAUUAAAUUAUUUGCAAAACUAACAUAACUUAUGUUUUAAGGACACAAAAUGCCAAUGACAAACAACUCAUCUAUCAAUUAAUAUUACCAUUUGAUCCAAUAGAAUAAGCAACAACCAUCUAAAAAAACCAAAUAAACAAUUGCUCAUGUACCCAAUAGGAAAGCAAAUGUAGAGUUUUAAACAAUAGCAUAGCAUGCACCAUGUGAUGGAUUGGGCAUGAUUGACCCCCCCAUGUGUCGCAAGUGUUAAGCUACCUUAUUAUAAUUCAUACAAUAACACCAAUCCACAAGAAUCUCCUUUUUUUUUUUUUUUUUUUUUUUUUAAGGAUCAUGUUGAUAUUUGGUUCCAUUAAUUAAUGUCCUUUCGAAGUGGAACCGAGUCGAUUUGAUUUCGUUUAAUUUGAUGUGUUUGCGGGUUUGGGUAGGAGUUGUGUAAGUUUGAGACCAGUUUAGUAAUUUCUUUUAGGGUUAAUUAUAUACAGCUCUCUAUAAACAUAUCGAAUAGCAAAUAUAUCCUUACAAAGUUCAACAUUUUAUAUUUAUUUUCGCUUAAGUUUUAACAUUUUCAAAUAUAUCCCUACUGUAGAGAUCCAUUAAAAAAAUAUAAUUAAUUAUAGUUAAAAUACUUAACCCUUUUUAGUGAAUGAGGUAAAUUGACAUUUAUGUUUUUCUUAUAUUAUUUGUGAUGGUAGAAAAGAAGAAAAUGACCAUUAAAAAUUUUUUAGAGAAUAUUUCUGCAUAAUUUUAAUAGUUAAGGAAGAUAUUUGUAAUGGCAAAAAUAUCAUGUCACUUAUCUUUUAUUAAAAAAAUAAAUAAUGCUUUAAUGUCGACAAAUCAAAGAGGGAAAUAUAAAUAUCACUGGACUUCUAUAGAAAUAAAUAUAAAAAGUUGAACUGAACUUUAUGAAAAUAUAUUUGCUAUUCGGUAUGUUUACAAAAAACUGUAUGAAAUUGGCCCUUUUUUUUUUUCGUUCCUAUAGUUGAUAAAAAUGAAGAACGUAAAACACUACAUGCUUCAUUUUCAAUAUCGGAAUCCAUGAAAUAUUGGUCUUUCACUACAGCAAAAACGGUGUAUAGCGACGCUUUUAAAUAUAGGUACAUGUCAAAAAAGUGCUGCUAGGUAAAAUUACCGACAAUUUUAAAAAUUGUUGCUAUAUGUGGGAUCGCUAAGUAUAUAGUGACAGUUAAAGAGUGUCACUAUAACCUAAAAAGGUGCUGCUAAUUUACCAACACUUAUUUAAGCAUUUAGCAACCGCCGAAACUCUAUCUCGUUGGCUGCGGUCGCGGAGGAGGACAACAGGAAAGGCUCUUCGUCUAGAAUUUCAGUGGAUUGAAUGAAGAGAGAAGAAAAGAUGGUAAUUGAUUUUUCUUUUUUUUUUUCUUUUCUGUUUAUAAUCGGGUCAAAUGGACUGGGUGUGGUGGGUUGAGUAGAGUAAUCUUUUAUUUUUGGUUGGAUUGGGCUUUAUAUUUAGGCAUAAGUAGAUGUUUUUUUAAGUUUUAGCAUAAAUGGAACACUUACUCAAAAGUGUCACAAACAUGUGUCCCUAUAACCUAAUUCUGUUGUAGUGUUUGGUCAUGCAGUAUUAAAAUGUAGCAUUAAUUAUUCAAUAAAAUUAUUAUAAUAAAACUAUUUGGAGAAGCUUCAUAUUUGAAUCUUUCAAUAAUAUUUUCUACAAUAAAAAUGGAAACUUUAAAUCUUUCGAUACUAUUUUUCUACAAUAAAAAUAGAAACUUUAGGUCUCAUUUCGUAUUGUAUCUGUAUUUUUUAAUUUUUAAAUAAAAUUAUGUGUAUCAAAAGAUGUAGAAAUGCGCUGCGGAUUAUUUGCAGCCAUCUCAUUCAGUGUUUACCGGACAACAAAAAAUAAAAAAUUGAAAUAAUAUUUUCUUUUUUUGGUUUCAAAUUUUUUUAAAAUAAAUUAUCUUCUAUCACUUACUCAGAUGUAUUUUAAAAGUANUUUUUUUUUUUUUUUUUUUUUGAGAGAGAGAGAGAGAUUUCAUUUAGAGCCCAAAAUCUUAUUCUUUACUAAGCGCCACUUUUAUUGAUUUCUGAGGCUGUUGAACACUAAUUAAACCCAAAAAAACAAUAUUUAAUAAAUUAGUCAGAUCCAAUGAAUCAAAUAUAUUAAAUUGAAAAUGCUAUUUAUACAUCCCAUAUACAAGUGUAAAUUUAACAAAUUUUUCAUUCAUAGGUCAAACAAAAUUCUUUUAAUAAAAAGGGUAAACUUUAAAUUUUAUUUCUGUGGUUUCGUGCUUUCUCACUUUAGUACUCUAUAAUUUAAAGUAUAUCACUUUAGUACCAUAUGAUUUUAUUUUUUUUCUUUCCGUCAGUUCCUUCGUUAACUUUUCAUUAAGUCAUAUAUAGAAAACUUCAUAAACUCAAUCUAUGGUUUAUCGAAUAUUCACUUUAGUAUUAUAUAGUUCACGGAGCUUUCGCUUUAGUACCCUAUGAUUUUAACUUUAUUACUGAUUUUAUGAAAAAAAAAAUUAACAGAAGAGAUAACAGAUAGAGAAAAACGAAACCAAAGAAUACUAAAGUGAUACAUUUUAAACCAUAGGGGUACUAACUGAAAAAGUGUGAAACCAUGAAGGUGAUAUUUGAAGUUUUUUCUAGUAAAAACUAGUAAAAGUAAAUGGAUGUAGAUCAUACACUUAAUAUAGGUGUAUGCAGUAUUAAAUUUGUCCAUACUGUAGUGUAGUGGAUUAGGGAUGUCAACGAGCCGAACACGAGCGAGCGAAUACGAGCAAGCUGAGGUCGGCUCAUUUAUGAAAUAAUAAAAAUUUGGCUUUAUAUUUAAAUUGGGCUAAAAAUCAAAUAAUAAAAAUUUAUAUAUAUAUAUAUAUAUAUGUAUGUGUGUGCUGUUAUGCCGAACAUAAGUUGGCUCACGAACAGCAAGCUGGGUUGCCACCCCUAUAGUGGAUUAGACCACACCCUUUAACACAACAUGUGGGGACUUUUUGCACCGCGUCAAGAUCACGUUAAGUGGUCACGAGAAGUCUCAACUUUACUACUACGUACAAUUCGAAGAAUCAAAUGCCACCAUUUUUAUACCCAAGUCAAAGUCUCAAAUCUAGUAGCAACUAGCAACACGCGAGCAACACGAGCGCGCCACACACUAAUAAGAAAAUUAAAAAAGUAAUGCUUAUUUAUCCUAUUUAAUAAAAAAUAAAUACUAAUGUAUUUUUUAUAAAAAAAAAAUAAUAUCUCACAAAAAAUAUCUCCUGUUAAUUUUCCAUCACUUAUAUCCCUUAAAAUCUUAUUUUUUGAGAUCACUGGCAAUUACACAAUAAUAAACAAAAAGUUGAUAGAUCUAUAUAUAAUCCACAUUGCAUUAUAAUUCUACAACAAUCUCAAUUUAAUAACUAUUUUUUUUUCACUUCUUUUAUAACUUUUUUUUAAUUUACUAAAAGUCAAAAGAAUUUAGUAAGUUUGAAAUUAAGAUAGAUGCUUGGUAAAUAAAGGACACCAAAAAAAAAAAAAAAAAAAAAACUUGCAAAAUAUCAUCACUAUAGUUGUCACACUUUCUCAUUUUAGUACCAUAUAGUUAAAAUGUAUCACUUUCGUACUCCUUGGUUUUAUUUUUCUCUUCUUAUUAUUUCAUCCACUAAACUUUUUUUCGUUAAAUCAUGACAAAGUUAAAACUAAAGGGUUAUUAAAGUAAUACUCGAUAAAGCUAACUGGGGUAUUUGAAAUUUUUUGUAUAUAAUUUAACGAAAUCCUAACGGAGAACUGACGAAAAGAGAGAAUAAAAUCAAAGGUAUAUUGAUAUCACUUUAAACCACAAAAUAUAAAAGUGAGAAAGUCGAAACAACCAUAAAUGUAUUUGAAGUUUGUAUGUUUUCCGAAUUUCCUGAUGUUUGACCUCCUCAGGAAAGUGUGUCGAAGUGGAAAUCGCUGCUGUCGUGACCUCGAAGUUAUAGCGCCCAGCCGACGGGUCAAGCGAUUGACCGAAUGAGGGAUCAAAUCGGCACGAGGUCGCGAAAACCUCCUUAGUACAUUUGCUUCGCAAACGACGAGCCGAAUGCAGGUGAGGCCUAAUACUCAAGGCUGAGAGAUGAAACGAAGUAGUCAGGACAAAACAAGAGUCUGGUUGCCUGAAGUAGCGGAAAACGAGCUCUCUGUAUUAUAUAAGAGAGGGAGUGAUGCCCGGGCAGGGCAGAUAGACUCCGAAGUGUUACAAGGAUGAUGCCGAAGACCAGACAGACUCCAAACGUUUAUAAUAAGUGAUGCCCGGAAGGCAGACAGACUUUCAAAAGAGGCUGAAAGUUACAAGCAUACCACUCUAGGGAAAAGCGAGGAGAAAAAUAAACAAUAAAGGUGGUCUCUUGUGCGCAGGGGCGAAGACCCCUUUUCAAGGUAGCUACAGGCAUUAUUUAUUAUUUUUCCCAUUGUGUAUGUAGUCGCGGCCACGUCGGGCCAUCUUCUCCGGAUCUCGAAGGACCACGUUCGAGCCGAUUGGAACCUGCCAUUAGGAAACCGCCUCAUAACCAUUGGCAGUUGUCACAUUUUUGAACAAACGCGGGACAUCAUCAUCUCUGGCGGCACUUUGUCCGUCGCUCCCGACCAGCGCUUUGACUCAGUGUGCCAAGUGUCUCGACCGAUCUGGUUCAAACAAUGCCCGUCGGCAGCUUCGAAGCGGGGCAUUCGGUGAGCUGGCGGCGAUAUUCACUUUCUUAAUUGCCGAAAGUCAAACUUGAUCCGAGGCAUGUUUCUCGUUCCCAAUCAAUUCAACAUCUUUCUGACGAGAUCUGCAAGUCGAUUCGUGACAUCAAUCUUUCGUACAGUUUUAACCUGUGCGUUGAUUCUUUUCUCCACAGGCUUGAUCACAUCAGUUUUGUCUCAUACGCUGCAUUAAUUAAGGUUCAUCUCUAAUCUACUGCCGUCUAUUCAUCAUUAUAGCCCAACUUCGGCGACUCGUAAUUCGACGCAAAUAGUUCGAUAACGACGCCUUUUCUUCUUCAUCAAGCUUCCUCAUUUUGUCUCUUCAAUCUCUAUUCUUUUCUAUCGAAUUUCUCGCUCCUUUCUCUUCUUUUGAAUCAAUGUCUCUGGUUCCUCCUCUUCCAUUACUCAUAUAUCCUCUUGACUAUUCUUUACUAAACCUUCGUUGGAUGUUAGAUCCUUCUAGUGUUAGUAUUUAAGGACAUUCUUUUUGAACAAUACCAUCCCUACUGACUCGCCCUUUCUCUGAUGAGGGAUUUUCCUCUAACAAAAAGUUAUUCAUCUUCAUUCUUGGUACCUCGUCCAGCUUCGACAGGAAGGUCCAGGACUUGCCAAGGUGUCUCUGAAGCGGAAUUUGGCCUGAUUACGAUAAGAGUAGAUCUGUUUACGCGCGCCUCCUGGCGAGGAAUCGGCAUUAUGAGCGAUUCAAUUAUGCUCGGCACCUCUAUAGGCCGAUAAUCUUCUUCUGGCUGCCGCUCUUGUUUCCAAUGGUCCCCUAUUUCAAUAACUAUUUCUUUUCAAAAGAGGACCUCUAAACCCUACUCUUUUUGAUGUAGCCGCCAUUGUGCCGCUUACGCCCUCAUGGCGUCACCCUUUCUAAUGGACUACAAUCCUGGAUGAGUGUGCUCUAAUUUGACACCCUUGAUCUACAUGAUUUGGCUUACUCCAAAUUCCUUCCGAAAAUUAUUCUGCAGGUGAAUCCCCUGCUCCAGUCGCCAGACAGGAACAAUACGGCGUUCUCUAUACUGGUUGUGCAUAAUCUUUUCUGCACCGUUCGCAAAAAUCAAUCGAGAUUUUGUUCAGAUCGGCCAUCGGUUUUCCUAAUGGCGAUACAGUUGGACCUUAGGCGCAUAUUUCCUUGCUUCGUUACAGAGAAAUUUUUUAUACAUUAAAGUCACUACCUUCAGGUGAUGGCAUCGCAUUUGGCUCUCGGUGUGGCGUUUUUGGUUUUUGCAAAUGUUUCUUCAAUUUUAUAUCCAGCUUUACUGUCAAUCCCUUUCAAUCCUAUUUCACUGCCCAGUUUGAUUCUUUAUGGGCUACUCUCAGGCUGUCCACAGCACUGAUGACGCUCGGUGGUCAAACCUUCUGAAUUUUCUGACUUAUUUUAAGGCUUUUUAUGAGCCAUCAUCUGAUUCAGCUAUUUCUUGGGCUCCUUUUUGUUGAUCGUACUCACCGGACCCUCUUUGUUCCUGGCUCGAUUUGAGCCCUUCAAAAGGCGAACUUAUCUUUCUCGUGCUGGUGAACAUUCAAGAUGAUAUGGUAUCUCUAUUAGUCCCGAAGCCUUCAUGUUGGAGGUUAAUCGGCGUUCAAAGUUACUACCGAGGCACUGAGUUUACUCUCGCUCAGUAUGUAGCGCGCAGUUUUGGACUCAUUCAACCGGAUCCCAGCUCCUUCUAAUUUUUUACAGGCCAACACGGCCGAUUCAAUACGUCUCACAUCACAAACAGCAUAUAUUGAAAGCUGACAAGCUUUCGGCCAUGGAAAUCGUCUCAGGCGCUUCUUCAGCUAGCAAGCUUUCGUCCCGGAACAUACAGAGUACCUGUUCCAGCUAUGUACCACAAUGGGAUUCAGGUUUACUAACAAGCUUCUUUGUCUUUCUUUGCUCGGAGCAUUCCGCCAAAAACCAUCCAUCAACUGGUUCUGGUCCUCUGAUGCUUGUUUAUAAAAUUUUCGUCCAAUAUGGCUGUAUAUAUUUACGUAUUUUACUAUAUAUAAUAUAUAUUUUUUAUAUACAGCCACUACUCCCGGCAGAGAUUUCUCAACCGAGACUGAGUCUCCCACCGAAAAAAUUCUCUGAUACUCCACGUAUUUUCCUCGGCCGUAAUCUAUCAUUCUCUUAUUCGUCAUGGUACGUAGUCAAUCCCUGCUUCUCCAUCGUCCUAGGUCUCCGACAAGAAACCGAUUUGAAGCUGUUAAAGUCACUCCUACCACCAUCCUCAAAACGAUCGCUCGAAGUCUGCGCAAAAAGAAAAUUUCAACAACCGAAUGCACAUUUCGCUGAAAUCACUAAAGACAGAGCGAAGAUCAUUCCUUCGCUGACUUCUCCAACGCAAAAACUAUAUACACCGUUCUUCGGCUACUGGACAAUCCCCCAGUCUUAUCUGAACCCAAUUGAUGUUUGGGGUAAGCCGAAAUAAUUAGUUCACACAUUCUAUUUAUUUAUAGUUUUCUUUUACUACAGUCUUUCCCCUGAGCAAGCCUUCUUGCUUAUUACUCGAAGAUGCAGAAUCGGAAAGAACCACUUCGUCGUGAAUUCCCGAUUGAGAAGAAAGGAGCGGGAUGGAAAAAACAAAAAGAUCUAUAAAAACGGCGAGCGCCCGACGCCUUUGACGGAGUGAUGGCAUCGUCACCUCUUUUCAGUCUCCUAACAAUCGAUAACAGAGGUGAACGACAACCAGAUACUCUUGAGCGAACCUUUGAGGACAAAGUCAAUACUCCUCCCCAUUCGACUCAGGGAGCUUCUCCUCUAUUCAACAUGAAUGAUCGCUUUAUUUGCAAUUCUUCAUUCUUUUUUGACUUCAAGCCCAUGCUCCAAUGAGUGGUGAGAUUCUUCUAACUGUGACCCAUUUCAUCAGAAUACCCAGAAUAGAGCUGAACGAUGAAUGUCUUAAAAUAUUUGGCAUCGGAAUUCCAAAUUUAGGCUCAACUCCUGAAAGCAGUCUGAUGCGCUCUAUGUCCUUCUUACUCAUAUUAGCCGAUCGAGUCAAUAUUUCUCCUCGGUAUUCAAAUAGAUUUUGUGUCAACCAUUGAUCACUCCAACUUUCAUCUUUUUUGGCUUCGCAGCUAAUCUUUAGGUGCCGAACAUUGUAACUUAGUCAAAUUUUAAUCGCGUUGAUUUGAUUUUCAAGAAAAACAUACCUCGACUUAUAGCACUCCACAUACUGAGGUACAUCGAGAGGAUAAAGAAUAGCUGAUCAGGAAUCGCUGCUGGGCAAACAGCGAAUUCUUCCAUUAACAGGAAGAAUUGUGCGGUAACCGAGUUCCACUCUUAGCGCUCCCUAUACCCAAAAGUCGACUUCAAUUAAAAGAUCCAAUUAGAUCUAAAAAGGAGGAAGGAGGAUAUAAGCUUAAGAAGAACCUUUCCCCCAACUUUACACAGUGCAUCCUCUGAUGAAGCGCCCGAAGGAAAGCUGCGAAACUGCCCAAGCAAUCUUUUAUAGCCAAUGGACCUCAGCGCUUAUAGAGACUUAUUAUCUGAUUCGGCUGUAUAUUUUAAUCUUGAUUUUAUUACUUCGCCACAUGGCAUGGAUAAUAUCCCUCUUUAACAUAACUUACCGUUCGAUUGGUUUUUCAUAUCCUUGACUGCGACUGCAUACGGCUAGGAUGUCCCGGUGUCGGUGGGCUCGUCGCACAUUUUGUUGAAUAACAGCAUUUCCUCUUUGUAACUCGAACUAACCUGAAAUGGUCCUUCCAAUUUUAGGAACGCACUUUCCAUACACGUCGGUCUUUACUGACCGAUCGGAAAAACCAGUCGCAAGUACCAAUCACCAAUGGCAAAUGUCUUUGAUCGAACUUUCUUAUUUAUACGGCAAUUACGCACGUCGGCUGCUGGUAACGCUUGCAUAUUAUCUAAAGCUAUCAACGAUAUCUGUCAGUUCUUCCGUUUUAUCUUUCAUCAACUAUUAUAUUCAUCAGCCGAAGAUUUUUUUGUUUCUCCUAUCCUUAAAGAAGGGAACUGUUAUUUCCGGCGUGGAAAUUACGGCCUCAUGGCCGUAGACUAAUUGGAAUUGGUGUCAUCCUGUUGCCGUUUUACCUGAGGUUCGGCGAUGACCAUAAUUACUUCGGAAAGCCUUUCUCGUUCCAUUUUCUUGGAUUUUUCCAAUAUGUCGUUUCAUGAGAUUAAACGACUAUCUUAUUGUGCUGACUGCUACUUGCCCAUUCGGCUUGGCAUAAAUAAGGGAGGCACGAAUGGAGAUAGCUUUAUCUUUGAGAUUCAAUAACCGAAACGACAUUGUCUCCUGUGAACAUUCGUCCUUGGACGGUAUUGUAAUGGUCUCGCGGGAUCCCAAACGCGAUGAAUUAUAUGAUCUUCAACAAAUCAAAAUUUGCGCUUUGUGAUAACCAACCGAGGUGGGUUUGGCUUCUAACCCACUUAGUAAAGUAAUCGUGGGCUACUAUUGAAAUUUGUCGACCAACAGAUGAAGGAUUCGGCUCUGGAUUUUCCAACUAACAUCAAUGCUGCCCAUCCUCAAAAAGGCCAUGGUUUCAAUUAUUUCCGUACAUCCAGAGGCAGGAACAACCUCUGGAUGGCCAUGAAAAUUGAACAUUUUGGCACCUUUGCAAUACUCUAUACAUCUUGGUGGCAUAGUUGGCCAAUAAUAUUCCUACGGUGCGAAUGGUCCACUGUAACUUUUUUCCUGCAUGUGGGUUACAUAUUCCGUUCCAUGUGUUUCCCCUAUUACCAAUAGAGCUUUCUCUGGCCCUAAAACAUUUCAUAACAUAACUUCUUCGGCUGUUCUUCUUGAUAUAUACCGUUAAUAAGCGAGGCGAGAGCCCUUCGUUCUGAAUAUUAAACAUCAACCCAUUGUAUUGGGAUCCUCCAAAUAUUUAAUUAAUGAUUUUCUCCAGUCUAUUUUUAUUCUACAGGAGCUGAUGAUCGGCUUUCGUAUAUGAACCGAAGUAGGUACGCAGUCUGUGUGUAUUAUUAGUCCGACUCUGAUUUCGGUGUCUACCUGACCCUGAAGCCCGAUUGGGCCAAUUACGUUUGCCCUAUGUCAUUUCUUGUCUUUUCAAAUGUUCAAUUCGCUUCUCCGAAAUUGGCAUAACUUCUAAUGUUCUUUCUCAGAUAAUUUGGCAAAUUUGGUAAUUUUCACAUCGUAUUUUCACUUUAACGGACUGCUUGAUCACUAACAUGUGAGUUCACCGAUGCUUUGUUGACUUAACUUUAAUUCAAUUUGCAAUAUUUUCAGCCGAUUAUCAAGGCCUCAAUAUUACGGCUUGGGUUGUUGGAACAGCCGAAAUCCAAUUUAACAUGGCAAAUUCGACACACUAUACCUCUCAGGUGACAUGUACUACAUAUCUUAUCCUGGCAGAAUUCAUUUGUUUUGGAACCGUCAAAGUAUAAUACCCAAGUUGACAAGCCGAUUCUACAUUGGUAUCGGCUCCUCUAUUUCUACACAUGGUAGUCAGCUCAGAAAAUCCGCUGAUAGCCCCUGGCCUUAUAUAGCUUUAGCAGGAACAUUUAGACAGAACUCGGAUAAAGCCAAUACUACCCUUCCCAAUACGUCUCCGCAGCACUGCUUGGAUAACAUAUAUUUUUAUCAAAUCGGUCUACAUAUCACCGAUACUCUCAAUUGACAAAAAUAAUAAUAUCGAGAUUUUGUGCAUGCAUAUAUAAAGCUAAACAAUAAUUUUUCUUAUAGGCCGCCAGGUACACGUUUACUCUGUGAUCUAAGGCAAACGUCGGCUAAAUAAUAAAUUAGCUUGCUCGCUUUCUUUGCUCGUCAUUUCUGAGCCAACAAAAACAUCCUCUAAAUUUCGAUGCUACCAGCCGAUAUAUAUAGCUUUCAAUCGGCUGAUUCGGUUUGGAGGUACCAAUAGCCGGAGGUUUUUGAUAAAUCUCUUUUUAUACUUUCAGAAAUGCCUCGGGCUGCUGUUGCCUCUGCCCAAACAAUUUCUUCCUUAUCUUUGCAGCCGAAGUAAUGGCGCGAAAGGUCAACAAAAACGCCCUGGAAUUCUCCGCUAAAUUGGAUAUAAAACCUCGAAGAUAGUUUAUCUUUCCCCGGAACAAACUCUGCAAUCCUUUUUUGGGCCAUUUGGGUGUGAUAACUCUCACUAUUGCUUUUGCUUUAUUUUUAUCAAUUUCAAUUCCUUUCCUUAAUGCACACCAAAAAUCCUACGAAAAUUGUUCCUUUUGCCGGAAACCACCCCAAUGCGCAUUUCGAAAGGAUUCAUUUUUUAGAAAUUAUAUUUUCGUCCAAUUCUCUCAAAAGCGAGUUUUAAAGUCGAUCCAGAUGUUCGCUUGCGACUCUGACUUGCAUAGACAUAUCAUCAAUAUAGACCUUCCAACAUCUUGCCUGAUUAAAUUCGUGAAAACAUAAAAUUCAUCGGCUUCCUUUGUAAGGUACUCCCAGCAUUUUUUAAGGCGGCGAACGGCAUAAACAACCGCCGAUUCAAAAGUUCCCAGAUUGAAGCGCCGGGGCGCAUCUAAAAGCCAGUUUUAGCCACGGUCUUCCUCAGCAAUAAUAAUAUUUCGAUUAUAACCAGCAUGUCCACCAUAAAGGACAAUAAUUCAUUACCGCAGCCACCGAAUCUAACUAACAAAUAUCGGCUAUCAGGCAAUUGAAUAGUUCAUCUUUACCCGGUGUAGCUAAAAUUUAAGUUCCAAAGUCAUACAGAACUCUGAGUUUACCAUUCUUUUUACGUACUGGAACUAUAUUAGACACCCAAUCAACGAUACACGGGCCGCUCUAACUAAAUUCCCGCCUUUAAAAACGAUUUUCAAUAUUAUUUUAAUCUGAAGUACAAUACUCGGCUCUAUACCUACGACCGGUUGUUUAAAAGGCUUAAACCCUUCUUUGAUAGGCCAGCCGAUGCUGUCUACACUACAAUUUCUCGCUCAACCCUGGCAAUUUCUUGAUAGCCUCAAGCGAAACGAAUCUUUGUAUUCUCGCAAAGUUCUUCUUCAUUCUUCUUGUUGGCUUGAACCGACCAGCUUGGAACUUAUGAGACGUUGGCGUGUUGUCUUCAUGAGACCCAUAAGGUGUUACCUCUACAACUAAGUCCUGGGUCUCCAACUUUUUCUCGGUCGGUUUUUAAUGGCGAUUCUCAUAAUUCUCCUUCGCUGGUUGCCAAUUCACCUCAUAUGAUUCUGGUCUUUUUGGCUGAUUCCGCUUGAGCUUCCUUCCCGUUUUUUGAAACGCGAAGUCAUUUUUAUGAUCUUCUCCGGCCUUACUAGCGACUUCCAAUCGUGCAAACCAUGCGCGCUUGAGAGCCGAGUUACCUCAUAGCCGAUCUUGUUGAAUGCUCAUCUUGCUGAGGCUUAUGCCAAGCCUCUUAUCCUGAUUCUGUGGGAUCAUUUAACAUCUGGUGCUUUCAAACGGCCAGCCAUAAGUAUUGAUAUCCUUUAGAACAGAACUAGUUGAAUUCCCUCUCCGUACUCCACAAGAAAAUCUGGUCUGGAUGCAGCAUCGCCCAGUUGUGAUGUGCGAUGUCUUCCAUACAGUUAACCAUCUAAUCAUUUGAAGGCCCGUCCUCGCCCGGACUUCUUCUACCUUUCUCCAUCCACUGGAACAAUUUCCGCAUGGAGUGUAGAGGGCACAAGCACUCAUUCCGCAUGGAUCCAGUCACGCCCCUGCAGUAGUUGUAGUGACUAUCUGCAUCUACCAAGCAAAAAAUGCAGUUUUUAAAGUUUUCGAACCUACCGUACAGUUCGGUGGUUAAGCACUCCUCGGCUUGUUGACCAUAUUCCUUGAAAUCGGUCAUGAUCGAAUCAGUUAGGCUUCAAUUCGUCUUCGUUCUUUGCCUAACUUCUUAAAGAGAAGAGUAGGCAUUACGUUAACCAUGGCACCGCCGUCCACUCAUCAACCUCGGCCUACCGCCGACCUUCCAUUCAAAGCUUUUAUAAAAAGAGUCUUAUAAACCUCAUCUGGCAAUGGCCCGAAGGUUCCUCAAAGAACCACUCGGCAUCGGGCCCGAUAGAACAUCUUCUAAUUGAACUGACUACUCUAAGCCCAUCUUCCCUCUCGACUGCUUUAUAUUUUCAUACUCGAUAAACUCUGCUUUAAAGAUUGGAGGCAAGAGCAUAACACCAUGUUUACCUCAGUCCCGGUGAUCUUCGCUGAUUUUCCUUUGUCCUUUGUUUCUUCUCCUUCCGAACUCCUUGGCUGUUUCAGCAGAAGUCACUUUCCAUACCGGGACUACCCUUUCUUUUCGGAGGCCACUCUCUCUUUUGAAAUCAUAGUCUCGAGGAAGCUAUUUUUUCUUCCCAACUCCCUCCUGAUCAUCUUAUCUUCUGAUUCGGCCUCGUUGAGCGCUCUAGCUUCUUGACUUCAACUGGGGAGCUAAUGAAUGAAACCGCGCCCGCGCUGCGCUCCGUGAUCAUUCUUUAAUGGAUGAAAAGCGGUGUGAUUGCUCAUCAGGCGCGUCUCAAAACCAUUAGAAGGCCCUUAUCGCCUUUCGCCCGUCCCUCAUGACAUCGUUGCUUGCUUCGGCUGUAUUCUGCUGCUGCCGACGGUUGUCUGAGUUUUUGUCAAUACAUCCUGGCCACACCGCCUAUCUGGCCGGAGUGUUUAACUUCAACGUCGGCCCAUUCAUCUCUACAUGGCACAUCGCGGUACUUCACCGUUCUUAAAUGCAUUUUUCAAAAUUUCUUCUUCUUUCCCUGGCGCACGUUCGACUGGGGCCGGACGGUCUCGGCCAAGGUUGAAUGCCGAGCUCAUUGCUAACGGCUUCAGACCGAUGAAUUCCUAUUCCCCCUCGGUCAUUCCUGUUCAAACUGUCUGGUCUCGGCCUAGCUUGUUGUUGCCAAUGUGGCCGAUACCCAGGGAAUCUUUGUUUGGAGCCGAAAGGUCUGUCCUGGAAGUCCCAUCGGCCAUGACGUUCUCCACGCCUAUUGUUGUAGUAAUCGUGCAGAAUUUUCUGCAUCAUGAUGUCUUUCUUGUGUUGAACCGAAUCUAUUUCCGGUUCGGUGUCGUUAGAGGCUGCAUCCGAGCCUUCUUCUUCUAGGUCUUCACCAUCGGGAAUAUUAUCCCAAUCUUCGGAGAAUGCCAUCAAUUCGUUCCAUUCGUUUCCCCUUUUCUUGGCAUUCACGAUUGCUUCCCAGUCUUUUUUCGUCAUUUCGGCCUUGCACCUAAUGCAUAGCCGAAGGUGUUUCUUGGCAUGGGCCACGUUGUCAGCGGUCUCUUUGUCUAAAACUUCCUUUCCUUUGAUAUUCACCAUAUUGACCUGAAAUGGAAAUGAAAUUUUGUUAAUUAUUUGAUUUUUAUUUUCUUGGUCGGCCAAUAUGAGCCGACCUUCUUCUAUUUCCUCUUGAAUCUGCCUUUUUGCAGCCGCUUUCCCUUUUCCUUUCAUAUUCACGGUGUUGAUCUGUGAUGGAAAAGGAUUCUUAUCAAUUUUCAUAUCUUUGUUUUCCUGGUCGGCAAAAAUUAGCCGACCCUCAUUUAUCUCUUUUUGAAUUUGUCUCUUAAAGGCAGUGCAUUCACUAGUUUUAUGGCUCCAUGAAUGGUGCCAUUUGCAGUAUCUUCUACGUUUCAACUCCUCAACAGGAGGUAUGGUUUGACCUUCCUGUAAUUUAAUUCGUCCAUCUUUUAACAACCGAUCAAAAAUAAAAUCGGUUUUAGAUAUAUCAAAAGAAUAACUAAACGCAGACACAUGUGCUUUUGCCUCUCUUGACUUUGCAGGUUUUAGCAAAGCACAUUUGUAUGGUUGAUUAUUCUUCACCAUCUCAGCAGCACAUAUUUCGGCUUCGUCAGCCGAAUUUUCUGCCUCUUCAGAUGAAUUCGGCUCCUCAUGAGCCGAGGAUUCUUCAAAGAAAGAAAUAUUUUUUUCUUUCCCUUUGUUCCAAUCUUUAUUUCGGCUCCACCUAGGCCGAUCUUCAUUUUUUCCUUUUCGAAAUUGCUCGUAUUGAGCAACUCGAACUCCCAAAUCAAAAAGAUUUGGAAAAAACUUAUCUUCAAAAUAAUCCUUAAUCUUAAAAUGCAUGCCAUUAAAUGCCAUUCUGGCAAAUUCUGAUUCCGGCAUCCUCACAAAACAUCGGCUUCGAGCCGUUUUGAAUCGGUUUAAAUACUCAUCAACUGAUUCUCCCAUUUUUUGUCUAAAUUGAGCCAAGUCUGCAACUGACAACUCAGGCUCAGUUCUAUAAAAUUGCUCAUGAAACUUACCUUCUAAUUCGUCCCAGUCUCGGACGGAAUUAGCAGGUAAACUCGUAUACCAGGUAAAAGCUGUCUUGGUUAAUGAAGUAUUAAAUAAUCUUAAUUUCAAAAAAGGAUCUGCCGCAGCUUCGCGACAUUGGGCUGUAAAUCGGGCGACAUGUUCGACCGUAUUUUCGGUCUCGUCUCCAGAAAAUUUGUCAAAUUUCGGCAUCUUCCAAUUUGCCGGAUAUGGAUGUUCCACAUCUAUAUUAACAGGAUAUGGUGAUCUGAAUACAGGCCGCAUUGCCGGCCUUGUGCCUACUCCGAAAGUGUUUCGGAUUGCUUCUUCUAUUUGCGCGUAUAUUUCAUUAUUAAUACCCGGCAAGGGGGCCUGCGCUGGUACUGGGUUCAAUGGUUGUUGAAUCCCAAUAUUUUGCCCUAAGGGAUUAACCCCUUGUGCAUUCGGGAGAUGCCCCCUAGCCUCUACAUUGUGAGGUUGGUAGGCUGCCAUCGGAGGGGGUGGAAGUAAACCCCAAGCCAUUUCAGGCUGUUGACCGGCAUUACCGACAGCCAGUCUAUAAAACGCUUGAUACUGUACCCCCUGGUAUUGAGGCUGGCCACCCACCGGUGUUACCGGAUUCUGUAACACUGGUGUUACCACAGGCACUUGAAGGCCUGCUAUCGGCUGGUCGUUUCGAGUUAACAACUGCCCUAUUCGGGCUAUAUUUUCGUUAGAGGCCGUGAUUGCGGCCAAAACGGCGUCCAGCCGUGCGGUACUUGCAUGACUAUUUUGGUCCAAAGUCUGUAGGACCCUAGUCAUUUGGCCAAGUGCUUGGGUCAAGCUAGGCUCUUGUUGGCCGAAUUGACCGCUAGUUUCACCUUCUGUCGGUAAAACUGCUUGGCGCUCCACAACAUUCUCCGAAUUACUGGGCUGUUCACUCCCAGGAUUUCUGGGAAUGACCCUAUUACGGAGAUUCAUGGUGUUGUCGUCAGCCAUAAUCAAAUUCAAAUUUACCUCGAAUAUGCGUCCCACCGGGCGUGCCAAAAAAUUAUUGUUUUCCGAAUUUCCUGAUGUUUUGACCCUCCUCGGGAAGUGUGUCGAAGUGGAAAUCGGCUGCUGAUCGUGACCCUCGAAGUUUGCGCCCGCGACGGGUCAAGCGAUUCGACCGAUGAGGGAUCAAAUCGGCCAGGUCCGAAAACCUCCUUAGUACAUUUGCUUCGGCAAGACGAGCCGAAUGACAGGUGAGGCCUAUACUCAGGCUGAGAGAUGAACCGAAUAGUCAGGACAAAACAAGAUCUGGUUGGCCUGAGUAGCGGAAAACGACUUUGUAUUAAUAAGAAGGGAGUGAUGCCCGGAGGGCAGAUAGACUCCGAAGUGUACAAGGGAGUGAUGCCCGGAAGACAGACAGACUCCAAGACGUUUAUAAUGAAGUGAUGCCCGGAAGGCAGACAGACUUCAAAGAGGCUAAGUUACAAGCACUACUCCUAGGAAAAAGCGAGGAGAAAAUAAACAAUAAAGGUGGUCUCUUGUGCGCAGGGGCGAAGACCCCUUUUCAUGGUACUACAGGCUUAUUUAUAUAUUUUCCCAUUGUGUUUAGUUAUCGCACGAUCGGCCAUCUUCUCCGGAUUCGAAGGACCACGUUCGACCGAUUGGAACUGCCAUUAGGAACCGCCCAUAACCACUUGCAGUUGUCACGUUUUUUGAACAAACGCGGCUCAUAUCUCCUGGCGCAUUUUCCGUGCUCCCGAUCCAGCGCUUUGACUCAGUGUGCCAAGUGUCUGCGCCGGAUUGGUUCAACAAUUGCCCCUCGGCAGCUUUCGAAGCGGCGCUUCGGUAGCUGGCGCGAUCUUCAACUUCUUAUUGCCGAAAGCAAACUUGAUCCGAGGCAUGUUUCUCGGUCCAAUCAAAUUCAAAUCUUCUGACGAGAUCUGCAGCGAUUCGUGACAUAAUCUUUCGUACAGUUUUAACCUUGGCCGUUGAUUCUUUUCUCCACAGCCUUGAUCACAUCAGUUUUGUCUCAUACGCUGCAUUAAUUAGGUCAUCUUAAUUACCGCCGUCUAUUCAUCAUUAUAGCCAACUUCGGGACUCGUAAUCGACGCAAUAGUUCGAUACGACGGCCUUUUCUUCUUCAUCAAGCUUCCCAUUCUUUUGUCUCUUUCAAUUCUUCUUUCUUUUCCUAAUCGAAUUUCUCGGCUCUUCUCUUCUUUUGAACAAUGUCUCUGGUUCCUCCUCUUCCUUCUCAUUCAUCUCUUGACUAUACUAUACUCAAACCCUUCGUUGAUUUAGAUCCUUCUAGGUUUAUAUUAGGACCUUCUUUUUUAGACAUACCAUCCCCUACUGACUCCCCUUUCUCUGAUGAGGGAUUUCCUCUAAAAAAAGUUAUUCAUCUCCAUUCUUGGUACUCAUCAGCUUCGACAGGGAAGAGUCUCAGGACUUGGCCAAGUGUCUCUGAAGCGUAUUUGGCCUGAUUAGAUAGAGUAGAAUCUGUUUACGGCGCCUCCUGGCGAGAAAUCGGCAUUUAUGAAGCGAUUCAAUUAUCUCGGCACCCUCCUAUAGCCGAUAAUCUUCUUCUGGCUGCCGCUCUUUGUUUCUGGUCCCCUAUUUCCAAUACUUUUCUUUUCAAAAGAGGACCUCUAACCCCUACUCUUUUUGAUGUAGCCGCCAUUGUCGGCUUACGCCCUCAUGGCGUCACCCUUUCUAUGGCCUACAAUCCUGAUGGUGUGUCUGAUUUCGAAGCACACCUCGAUCUUAAUGAUUUGGCUUACUCCAAAUUCCUCCGAAAAUUUGCAGGUGAAUCCCCUGCUCCAGUCACCAGACAGGAACAUACGGCGUUCCUCCUAUACUGGUUGUGCCAUAAUCUUUUCUGCACUCGUUCGCAAAAAAUCAAUCGAGAUUUUGUUCCGAUCGCCAUCGGUUUAUCUAAUGGCGAUAAGUUGGCCUUAGGGCCAUAUUUCCUUGCUUUCGUUUACAGAGAAAUUUUUUAUUACAUUAAGUCACUACCUUCAGGUGAUGGCAUCGCCAUUGGCUCUCGGUGUGGCGUUUUUUGGUUUUUGCAAAUGUUUCUUCAAUUUUAUAUCCCAGCUUUAUGUCAAUCCCCUUUCAAUCCUAUUUCAGCUGCCCAGUUUGAUUCUUAUGGGCUAGCUCUCGGCUGUCCACAGCCGAUGACCUCUGGUCAACCUUCUGAUUUUCUGACUUAUUUUAAGGCUUUUUAUGAGCCAUCAUCUGAUUCAGCUAUUUCUUGGGCUCCUUUUGUUGAUCGUCUCACCGGACCCUCUUGGUUCCUGGCUCGAUUUGAAGCCCUUCAAGGCGAACUAUCUUCUUCUCGUGCUGGUGAACAUUCAGAUGUAUGGUAUUCCUAUCUAGCCCCCCGGGAUCUUCAUGUGGGGCUUAAAUCGCGUUCAAAGUUACUACCGAGCACUGAGGUUUACUCUCCUCAGUAUGUAGCGCGGCAGUUUGGACUCAUUCAACCGAUCCCAGCUCCUUCUAAAUUUUUUACGGCCAACACGGCCGAUCAUCGUCCUCCCACCAAAAGCAUAUUUGAAGCUGACAAGCUUUCGGCCAUGGGAAAUCGUCUCAGGCGCUUCUUUCAGCUAGCAAGCUUUCGUCCGAACUAUACAGGAGUAGCCCUUUCCAGCUAUGCUACCACAUGGGAUCAGUUUACUAACAGCUUCUUUGAUCUUUCUUUGCCUCGAGCAUUCCGCAAAACCAUCCAUCCACUUGGUUGGUCCUCUGAUGCUUGUUUAUAAAUUUUCCUCCAAUAUGGCUGUAAUAAUUUAUAUUUAUAUAUAUAUAUAUAUAUUUUUUAUAUACAGCCACUACUCCGAGCAGAGAUUCUUCAACCGAGACUGAGUCUCCACCGAAAACAAUUUCUGAUACUCCACUAUUUUCCUCGGUAAUCUAUCAUUUCUUUAUUCGUCUUGGUCGUAGUCAAUCCCUGCUUCUCCAUCGGUCCCAGUCUCCGACAAGAAACCGAUUGAAGCUGUUAAAGUCACUCCUCCACCAUCCUCAAAACGGCGCAAGUCAGUGGCCAAAAGAAAAUUUCAACAAACCGAAUGCACAUCUUCGGCUGAAAUCACUAAAGACAGAGCCGAAGACAUUCCUUCGGCUGACUUUCCAACGCAAGAAACUAUUACACCGUCUUCGGCUACUGGACAAUCCCCCAUCUUAUCUGAACCAAUUGAUGUUGGGGUAAGCCGAAAUAAUUAGUCAACAUUUCUUAUUUAUUUAUAGUUUUCUUUUACUACAGUCUUUCCCUGAGCAAGCCCUUCUUGCUUAUUACUCGAAGAUGCAGAUGGAAAGACCACUUCGUCGUGAAGCCCGACUUGAGAGAAAGAGCGGGAUGGAAAAAACAAAAAGAUCUAUAAAAACGGCGAGCGCGACGCCGUUGCCGAGUGAGGCUUCGUCACCUCUUUUCAGUCCUAUCCUAACAUCGACUACAGAGGCUGAACGAAACCAGAUACCUCUUGAGCGAACCUUUGAGGACAAAGUCAAUACUCCUCCCCAUUCGACUCAGGGAGCUUCUUCCUCUAUUCCUGAUGAUCCUUUAUUUGCAAUUCUUCAUUCUUUUUUGACUUCAAGCCCUAGCUCCAAUGAGGGGGAUGAUUCUUCGACUGUGACCAUUUCAUCAGAUACCCAGAAUAAGCUCGAUGAAUGUCUUAAAAUAUUUGGCAUCGGAAUUCCGAAUUUAGCUCAGACUCCCGAGCAGUCUGAUCGGCUAUAUGCCCUUUUACUCGACUUAGCCGAUCGAUCGGAUGUUUCCCCUGGUAUCAAAUAUUUUGUGUCAACCUUAUCACUCCAACUUUCAUCUUUUUUGGCUCGGCAGCAAUCUUUAGGUGCCGAACUUGUAACUUUAGAUCAACAUUUUUAUCGCGUUGAUCAUUUCAAGAAAAAUAUACCUGAUAUAGCAGCUCCGCAUACUGAGGUGCAUCGAGAGGAUAAAGAAUUAGCUGAUCAAGAAUCGGCUCUGCAAAAGCGAAUCUCCUCACUUAAAGAAGAAUUGGCAGCAGCCGAGUCCACUCUGGCGCAUACCUCCGAGCGUCGACUUCAAUUAAAAGAUCAAUUGAGAUCUAAAAAGGAGGAAGGGAUAAAGCUUAAAGAAGAACUUUCCCAACUUUACAAAGUGCAUCCUCUGAUGAAGCGCCGAAGGAAAGCUGCCGAAACUGCCCAAGCCAAUCUUAUAGCCGAAUGGAAUCAACUUAGAGACUUAUUAUCUUGAUUCGGCUUGUAAUAUUUAAUCCUGAUUUUGAUUAUUUUCCCACAUGGAUGGGUAAUAUCUCUUUAAAUACUUACCGUUGAUUGGUUUUUCAUUUUCUGACCCAUCUCUGUUUUGCAAAUAAUACGCAUUUCCUCUUGUAACUCGACUAACCUGAAAUGGUCCUUCCCAAUUUGGAGACCAUUUCCCAUACACUCGGUCUUUUUGACCGAUCGGAAAAACCAGUCGAAGUACCAAAUCACCAAUGGCAAAUGUCUUUGAUCGGACUUUCUUAUUAUACGCAUUACGUACUCGGCUCUGGUAAGCUUGCAUAUUAUCUAAAGCUAUCAACCGAGUGUCUGUCAGUUCUUCUGUUUUGUCUUUCAUUAACUGACUAUAUUCAUCGGCCGAAAGAUUUUUUUGUUUUUCUAUCCUUAAAGAAGGAACUGUUAUUUCGGCUGGAAUUACGGCCUCAUGGCCGUAGACUAAUUGGAAUGGUGUCAUCCCUGUUGCCGUUUUCACUGAGGUUCGGCAUGACCAUAAUACUUCGGAAAGCUUUUCGUUCCAUUUUCUUGGAUGCUUUCCGAUAUGUCGUUUCAUAAGGUUAACGACUAUCUUAUUUGCUGCUUCUACUUGCCCAUUCGCUUGGGCAUAAUAAGGAGACGAAUGGAGCAGCUUUAUCUUUCGAGAUUCAAUGAACCGAACGAACUGUCCUCCUGUGAACAUUGUCCCUUGAUCGGUUGUAACGGUCUCAGGAAUCCCAAAGCGAUGAAUUAUAUGAUCUUCAACAAAAUCAAUAAUUUUCUUUUGUGUAACCAACCGAGUGGGUUUGGCUUCCACCCACUUAGUAAAAUAAUCGAUGGCUACUAUUAGAAAUUUGUGACCAGCCGAUGAAUUCGGCUGAAUUUCUCCAAUUAAAUCAAUGGCCCAUCCUCGAAAAGGCCAUGGUUUAAUUAUUGCGUACAUCUCAGAGGCAGGAACCCUCUGAAUCGGGCCAUGAAAUUGACAUUCUUGGCAACCCUUGGCAUACUCUAUGCAAUCUUGAUGCAUAGUUGGCCAAUAAUAUCCUAGGUGCCGAAUGGUCCAUCUUAACUUUUUUCCUGCCAUAUGGGUUCCACAUAUUCCUUCAUGUGUUUCCCCUAUUACCAAUAGAGCUUCUUCCGGCCCUAAACAUUUCAAUAAAACUUCUUCGGCUGUUCUUUUGUAUAGUUGACCGUCUAAUAAGCAGUAGCCGAGAGCCCUUCUUCGAAUAUUAUAAUCAACCCUUGUAUUGGGAUCCUCCAAAUAUUUAAUUAAUGAUUUCCUCCAGUCAUCUUUUACUUCUACAGGAGCUAUGAUCGGCUUUCGUAUAUGAACCGAAGGUAGCAGUCUCUUGUGUAUUAUUAUUGACUCUGAUUUCGGUUCUCUGUACCCUGAAGCCGAUUGGGCCAAUUCGUUUGCCCUUUCAUUUUCUUGUCUUUUCAAAUGUUCAAGUUCGGCUUCUCCGAAAUUGCAUAAUAAUUCUAAUGUCUUUCUCAGAUAAUUUUGCAAAUUUGGAUUUUCACAUCGGUAUUUUCCUUUAACCUGCUUGAUCACUAACUGUGAGUCACCGAUGACUUUGAUUGACUUAACUUUCAAUUCUUGCAAUAUUUCAAGGCCGAUUAUCAAGGCCUCAUAUUCGGCUUGGUUGUUGGAACAGCCGAAAUCCAAUUUAAAUGCAAAUUGACAAAUAUAACCUUCAGGUGACUGUAUCACUAUCCCUACUCCUGCAGAUUCAGUUGUUUUUGAACCGUCAAAGUAUAAUACCCAAGGUUGACAACCGAUUACAUUCUGUAUCGGCUCCUCUAUUUCUACACAUGGGUGAUCAGCCAGAAAAUCAGCUAUAGCCUGGCCUUUAAUAGCUUUAGCAGGAACAUUUAAGAGAGAACUCGGAUAAAGCCAAUAUCCACUUCCCAAUACGUCCUCGCAGCACUGGCUUGGAUAACAUAUAUUUUAUCAAAUCGGUCUUACAUAUCACCGAUACUUCAAUUGACAAAAUAUAAUAUCUCAAUUUUGUGCAUGCAUAAUAUAAAGCUAAACAUAAUUUUUCUAUAGCCGAGUACCGUUUCUCUGUAUCUAGCAAACGUCGGCUUAAAUAAUAAAUAGCUUGCUCUUCUUUCUCUUCAUUUUCUUGAGCCAGCAAACANNNNNNNNNNNNNNNNNNNNNNNNNNNNNNNNNNNNNNNNNNNNNNNNNNNNNNNNNNNNNNNNNNNNNNNACUCUGCUAUCAUCAAUUCGUUAAAAAAAAAAAAGAGAAAAAAGAAAAAAAGAGAGAGAGAGAGAGAGAAAAUAAAGCCCAAUUAAUAUUCUCAAUUUUUUAUUUUUUCAUGAUGAUGGUGAUUAUUAGUAUUGUCUAUAUUGUCUACGGAGGAGGGGUUGUGGUGUUGGAAUUUGAGGUGUACUGCUUGGACUUGGAGGAGGAGCAGCGCUCGGUUGUUCACCUCCCUCUCGAAUCUCCAGAGGUAGUUGAUGCCCACAAGGAGCUCCGCGAUCGCCGCCUCCACCUUCUCCCGGUGCGCCAAGUGCAGCGUCUGCAGGACCAACACCGCCGACGCCGACGCCGACGCCGACGCCGACGCCGACGCGCCCGGAGCCGCGCGCGCACGCCCGCGGGGAGCAUCGCGUAGAGCUCGUCCCGCGCCCCCGCCCCCGCCGCGCGCGGGCCCCGCGCCGCCCGCUCCGCCGCGAUCACCACCCCCGCGUACCGCAGCCCCAGCGCCGCCGCCCCCACCGUCGUCUCCGGCGCCACCAUCGCCGCCGCGCUCGCCUCCAAAAACCCUAACCCUAACCCCUCCCCCUCCCCCGACUCCUUCCAGAACCUCCAGAUCGGGCGCCCUCCGCCGCCCUCUGCAGUCCCCCGCGGCGUCGCGCCCCCUCUCCCCUUUUCCUCUGCCGCCCCCCGUCCCGCCGCCUUCCCCGCCGGCCCCGGCCCCGCGCCUUCCGUCGCCGCCGCCCCGCCGAUGGGCCCGCCCGGGUUGAUCAGGGCCCCUUUGCCCUCCGCCGCGCCCCCGCAGUCGCAUGUGGUGCGGCCCUUCCCCGGCAGCCCCCCGGCCGGUGCGCCGUCAUCUCAGCCCUUCGCCGCGCCGCCGCCCACGGCCCCGCAGACAUUUAGCGNAGCGACCGGAUUAGGGCUCCUCGAAGCGUCCGGGACGAUCCCGAACGCGCGCUUGAUCCGCGCGAGGAUGGUGAACGCCGCGCGCGCGAUGAGGGACACCGCGUCGUCGAACGCCGUCCCCCACAGCGAGGCGCGCUUAAGGUGUUCGACCUCUUGCCUCAGCCAAAACACCCGCUGCUGCACCUCCACCGCCGCAGCCAGUUUGCCGCCGCCGCCGCCGCACCGCGCCAGCCUCCGCAGGCACGCUUCGGCCUCCGCCAGCUCCUCCAUUUCCGUAAAGAGCGCGGCGGUGGACGCCACCAGCCGGUCCAUCUUCUUCACGCUGUGCUGCAUUUCUUUGGCGCUCAUCACCCAACUGUGAUCGGCCGCGCCGUCGCCCGACGAAUCGGCAAACUCUUUUACGCGCUUUCUGAAUUCGCGGAGCGCCGGGUCGGCGCAGCGCGGGGCGAGGGCGGCGGCGGCGGCGUCGGCGGCGUGGCGGAGGGAGUCGGCGAGCUCGGCGCAGGCGAGGGAGAGGAGGACGGAGUCGUCGUCGGAGACGACCCUGCGCACGCCCGGGAGGCGGAUGGUCUCGCGGCGGAGGCGCGCGAGGGCGGCGUCCGAGAGCGACCGCCAGAGGUGGAGGAGCCGCGACACGAUCGCCGCGGCCUCGAAGGCCAGGAUGCCUAAAUUGGCGGAUCUCUUCUUCUUGCUGGGCACCACGGCCGAUUUUACCAAUUUGGCUAUCCAUGACUCGAAGGUCAUGGACAUGUCUCUCGAGAAUGAUAUAUAAAAAGAAGAAAUUGACAAUCGAUGCGGAGGAGGAAGAGGAGGAGAUCGAUGGAAUGAAUAGAGUAGCUAGGAGAGAGGGAUAAAACUAAUUCAUUAAAGAGAGGAGAGAGAGAGAGAGAGAGAGAGAGAAAGAGAGGAGAGGGAGGUGUGGGAGCUCGUGGGAUGCUGAAAGGUGUAAGGUACACUACAUAUAGAAAAAAGGAAAGAGACGAGGAGGGGAGGGGGGGAUGGAGAAGCCACAACGACAGCAGGAAGUGGACGUUGGAUUUCAUUAGGAACGGAAAUUGUUGGCUGCAGCCGGUGCAUUAAUACAUCAUGUGCACCACCUCCAUCUAUCUGCUUGUCUACCCUCAUACAUAUAUAUAUAUAGUGCAUGACUUCCACCGAUCGAUCGAGGAGCUCCUCAACGAGGCUUCAAUAACACCCAGUGGCCGGUGAGCGAUCAAUCUCAUAUAUACAUCGUGUGCUCGAAUUUUAUAACUCAUUUAUAAUCUCACAGCUCUAAAAUCGCCUUUGUAUAGUGUGGAUUUAAAGAGUCCCGUAGGUGCAUACAAACAAGGUGUAUGGGUGCACGGGUGCGCGCAACAGUUCUUUUGUGGAGGAGGGAGCCACAAGAGGAGAAAAGAUCUAAUUUAGCUUUUGGUUUUAAGUGGUAAAAGAAAAAAAAAAAAGAAAAAAAGAAAGGAUAGGACUUUUUUAUAAAACAACCCUAUAAAAGUUUAAAAUUUGCGAAAUAACCCACUCAAAAUUUUAUUUAUAAAACUAAUCCUCUUUUCGCCACGUCGGCGCCACGUCAGAAUUUUUUUUAAAGGCAGUGAAUCGUUCACCGCGUUCUCCCAUUUCUUUUAAAGACGGUGAAUCGUUCACCGUGUUCUCCCAUUUUUUUUAAAGGCGGUGAAUCAUUCACCGUUUUCUCCCAUAAAUUAUUUACUGUUAUUUUCUAUAUUCCAUAUAAAGGCAGGUAAGAUUAUAUGAAAUUAUAUAGAUAAAUUAUUAGGAUUUAAAAGUUGUUAAGAUUAUAUGGGAUAUAGAAAGAAACAGUAAAUAAGUGAAAGGCGGUGAAUGAUUUACCGUUUUUAAAAAAAAAUGGGAGAAAACGGUGAACGAUUCACCGUCUUUAAAAGAAAUAAGAGAAAACGGCGAACGAUUCACCGUCUUUGUAAGAAAAUCCUGACGUGGCGCCUACGUGGCGAAAGAAGGGUUAGUUUUACAAAUAAAAUUUUCAUAUGAUUAUUUUGCCAAUUAUAAUUUUUUAGAGGGUCAUUUUAUAAAAAAGCCCAAAGGAUACGCAUCAAGUGAGAGUAGGAAUUGAUUAGAUAAUAGAGUAGUGGUGCUAGGUUACCCUUUAAGGUCUCCUCAAAGGUCGCAAUCGUAGUGCCAAAAUGAAGACAUGAUGGAUUGUGACCAAUGUACAUGUACAGUUUGAAAUAUUACUAAACAUGAGGGAGUAGUUUGGUACAGGAUUAAAUUUGUGAGGUUAAAUAUUUUUGUGCAACAUUUUAUAGAGUAAAUAUUAUUUUUAUGAAAAAAAAAAAAGUGUAAGCGAUGCAUGCAUGAUUAUUUGAAAAGAAAGAGUGAGAAGAGACAAUGUUAGGAUAGAGAAAUGAAAGAUUAAGGGUCGAGGGAGGAAGUGAGGAGAAAAAAUGGAAGAUAGUAAGUGAGAAAAGAAGUAAUGAGAAAAGAGAAACUGAAGAGAGAUAAAAUAGAGGAGGAGAGAGAAGACAAUGAAAGAAAAAGAGAGAAGACUAGAGUAUAAAGAAUGAGAGAGAAAGUGAACGAGAAAAGGUGAGAAAAAAGAAUGAGAAGAGAAAAAGUAAAAAGAGAGAAAGGACUUAAGAAAAAGAAAUUGAAGAGAGAUACAACAAGGAGAGAGGCAAAAGAGCAAAAGUAAAAAAAGAGAAAGUGAUGAAAAAGAUGAUAGUGAGAAAGUGUGAAGAGAGAAGGGAAAGAAGAGAGAUAAAGAAAAUAGAGGGGUGAGAGAGAAAGUAAAGCGAGAAAAUAAGAGAGAGAAAAAUGAAAAGAGGAAAUAAAAAGAAAAAAAAGUGAGGAGAGAUAAAUGAAAGAGAGAUUGAGAGAGAAAAUGAUGAGGAAAUUGUAAAGAGAAAAAGUGAAGAGAGAAAUUAAAGAGAGGGAAAGUAAAGAAAGAAAUUAAGACAGAAAAAGUUCAGAGAGAAAAUAAGAGAUUGUGGAGAACGAUUAAAACAAAGAAAGUGAGGGGAGAGAAAGUGAGAGGAAUAAUGUAAAAAGGAUUAAAAUUUUAUUACUUUUUAUAUAUUAUCUAGGCCUUUUGCAUAAAAAAUUUAUUAUCUUUGCAUUUUUACAAAAUCGAAUCAUUUUUUUAAUUUUACAGAUUCGAACCAAAUUUGUAAAACACUAACAAAAAUAUCCAUAUUUUCUCUUUCCUUUCUCUUUCUCCUUCCUCUCUUUAUCCUUCCAUUUCCUUUCCCUCCUCUUCUUCCUCCUCCACUGCCUCCACGUCGUCACCGUGCUCCUCCCCCCACCUCGCCUAUGUCUCUAUCGCCGCCGCCACACUUCUAGCUACCUACCUCAUUUUUGCAGACAAUGAGGUCAUUCUGAGCAAAGAGCUUGGCAGUGAGGCCACGACAGACGGCGUAGCCAUGGAUGGUGAUGGUGUCGCGGAAUGUGAGACCCUAGGUAGUCCUAUAUAUAAGGUAUAAUAGAGCUAAAACUCUUUACCCGGUUUAAGCAUUUUGGAUGGUGGCUAGAUCCAAAAGGUUAAGAGAGUUAAGCAUGUUAGGACUAAAGAAGUCCUGCGAUUGAUAACCCCUUGAAAAGUUGGGGCGUCACAGCUAGUAUCAGAGUCAAUUACCAACCGGAAGUGUGAGAUGAGUCUCGACUGAGCCAGGAUUGUAUAGCGGGGAAAGCGUAGCUCUAAUGCUGUUUGACUAUUGUGACUGGAGCGCAGCUCACCACAUUGUCGAUUUAGGCUAGCGAGAUGAGUCUCACAUCGUCUGAUACUUAUGAGUUUGAGCCUGACAAGGACGUCAGGGCUUAAGGGGGGAGAAUGUAAGACCCCACAUAAUCCUAUAUAUAAGAUAUAAUAGGGAUAUAACUCUUAACCUAGCUUAAGCAUUUUGUAUGGUGGCUAAGCCCAAGAGUAUAAAAGAGUUAAGCGUGCUAAGACGGGAGUAGUCCUAGGAUUGGUGACUCCCUGAAAAGUUGGGGCGUCACACAGGCUUUGAGGACGAUGGGAAGAGAAAAUGCUUCGAGUCGAGGAUGAUGGCUGCGGAGCAUAUAUACGGUGGAAAAGAUAAAGAAUAAGAUAGAGAGAGCUAUAGUGAAGGAGGAUGCAAUUUUUUUCUUUUCCUAGAAAUACUAGCACACUCCAUGACCACUCCGGAAGGCCAAGAAGAAAAGAAAAAAAAAAAGAAAAAAUAAUACUAUUUUAGAGUAAAUUGUACUAAUUAAGACUGAGUUUCACUCACUAAGCCUAAGUUGUACUAUUUGUGCAACUCAAAUAGUGCAGUUUAGCCUCAAGUGGUACAACUUAAUUUUAAAUACUAUAACUUUUAAUUUUGUGCAUAGUACAGCUUAACCUCAAAUAAUUUCAAAUAAUGCAACUUGGUCUCAAAUGAUACAACUUAGUCACGAUUGUCGUCGUCGAACAUAUCGUCUCUUCCAUCACUGCGAUCAAGGGUUGGGGUCGUAGAACACUUACGCGUCCUGUGGUGGAGGACAAAAAGCGAUGCUCAAGGGAAGGUCGCGCAUACAAAGCUGCGGAAGAGGAAGGCAUAGCGCCGCACUUCUAGAGGCAGUAGGUAUUGAGCUGAGGAAAGGGAUCGAGGAGCAGUGCGGUAGGUGUCGGAGAGAACGGCACGCAAGGGAAAGCGAGAGGAGAAAGAAAGAAAAGAGCAAUGGAGGAGGAAGAGGAGGAAGACGAACGAGAGAAAGAACGAAGAGGGAAAGAGGAAUAAAAGCAAGUUGGGCAGUUUACUAAAAAUCCAAAGUGAAUCUGUAAAAAUUUAAAAAGUGGUAUUUUCGCAAUAAUGCAGAAUCACUGAAUUUUUAAUGCAAACUAGCCUAUUAUUUAUUUCAUUUUUUUACCUAACUUUUUCUUGGUUAACAAAUUUGCAUUAUUAAAAGUUAAAGAUAGAUGAAGCUUUUACCUCCCUUAAACGUUAAUCCGAUGUACCAAACGCAAUUAAUUGAGGGUAAAAAUUUAUAAGAAUAAAAUUUCACCUCCUUUCCUAUAACAAACACGUCUUAAAAAAUCAUGAAAAGAAUAAAAAAAUAUAUUAUUUGUACACUUAAAAAAUAGGUAUAAAGUUUACAAUUAUUUAUUUAUGAUUGUAUAUGAAUUAGAAAGCUUUAGGGGUUAUUUGGUUCCACGGAGAAGUAUAGAAAAAAGUUUUCUGAGAAAAAAAAAAUUACUUUAAAAAAAUUCUGAUUUUUGUCUGCUUGGUUCCAAAAAAAAAACUUUUUUACAAAGCUUUUUUACAAAUUUUAUAGAAAACUAACGUUUUCGUUUUCCUAAAAAAAGAAUCUGAAAAAUAAAAGCAUUAAUUUGCUAUAAAAUUUGGAAAACAGAUUGUCAUAAAAGCUAGCUUUAAAAAAAUAAUAAUAAUAAUCAAAUAGACGUAAAACUGAAAUAGAGGCUCUCCAUGAAAAAAAAAAAAAAAAAAAAUUUCUUGAAAACCAUUUUUCCACAUUUUUCCGACAAACCAUACACCCCCUAGCAAAGUUUUAAACGCUUCUACAAAUUGACAAUUUUAGAAAAGAUUGUAAAAUUUGUGACAAUUUCAAACUAAUUAGUGAUAAUAGAAUCCCUGAAUGCAUCUGCACACGAAGAGUAUUCAAUAAAUUCGAUUUGGUUUUAGCAAUACUCCGGGUAGAAUUAUAGAUUUGGCUUUCAUUCAAGCAUCUAAAACAAAGUUUAACUUUAUGGCAAAUCUUUUAUAAUUUGUAUCUAACAUUUUGGGACCAAUUGGUUAGAUGUAAUUACAAAUGCAGUAUAGUUGAAGAUGUUUGCAGUUAAAAUCGCAGCAAUUACCUGCAGUUAAGAAAUAAUUUUUAAAAUUUUAUCAUUUAAUAUAUAUGAUGGUGAAAUUACCUCUAAUGUAAUUAUAUAUAUAUAUAUAUUAGAGAGAGAGAGAGGAGAGAGACGAGAGAGAGAGAGAGAGAGAGAGUUGUGUGGUAUGCUUUAUGGAGAACGGAGGCCUUCGUGCUUCCAAGUCGUUUUCGAUGUUCAAACUUCGAAUCGACGAUCGGUUCGUUAGAAUUGAUAUAGAGUUAUUUAAAAUAUCUAGAAAAUAAAUUUUACGAUUUUUC
rnacentral:lncRNA from 1 species